rnacentral:lncRNA from 1 species
CUCAUACCAACAACCAUAUUUCUUCCACAGAAAACAAGAGAGACCUAGCACGGCAAUUAGGAACAAACUACAACCGGAAGCAACACAUUCCACUUCCGAUCCACUAACAGCGUUGACGGGGAGGACGGCUUAGGCCCUUUCGCCACGGAUGCGGCGGGCGAGCUGGAUGUCCUUGGGCAUGAUGGUGACGCGCUUGGCGUGGAUGGCGCACAGGUUGGUGUCCUCGAAGAGUCCCACCAGGUACGCCUCGGCCGCCUCCUGGAGGGCCAGCACUGCGUGGCUCUGGAAGCGGAGGUCGGUCUUGAAGUCCUGGGCGAUCUCCCUCACCAGGCGCUGGAAGGGCAGCUUGCGGAUCAGCAGCUCCGUGCUCUUCUGGUACUUGCGGAUCUCACGGAGCGCCACGGUCCCGGGCCUGUAGCGGUGGGGCUUCUUCACGCCGCCGGUCGUCGGCGCCGACUUCCUCGCGGCCUGAAAUCACACGCGCGGAAUCACCAUCAGCAAACAACAUCGAACAGAUCUGGACAAGGGAAAGAGGAAGGGGGACGAGAGAAGGGGGGCGGACGCACCUUGGUGGCGAGCUGCUUUCGGGGCUGAUCAAUGAUUGACUAAGCUUAAUUAUGUUCCAUCUGAAAAAGGAUAGGAAUAAUUUUAAAUUUUCGUAUUGUUUUUACAGUGUGAUGAUGACGUUAAUUGUUGCUGCUCUACUUUGCAUACAUCAAUUUAUUUUCAGAUUCUUGGCUUUGUAACACGUUGAGAGGGAGUAUAACAUCAUGGCCGAUGCUAUAUUGUAGUAGUAAUUCCAGUCAAGGCAUGAUUAUAUUACUGGAGGAUGUUGAACUCAACAGGUCAUACUCUUAUUGAUUCCUUAGGAUCCUCUAUUUGUCGAGAGCCCAACGGUCAUGAAAUCAACUACGGGUGAUUUUAAUCUAUGCAUCCUCAGGUCUGGGGAAAUUUGAUAAUGGAAGCCUUCACCGUGGAGGAUUUCCCAGAGAAUAUAUGGGUGUUAAUUACAAGGCUUAGGAGAACUGUUCAGGGUGUGUGAGCACAACAAAACUCGGCAACUUCUUGAUGGCAACUGUGAAAUCAACAUAAAAGGUAUAUUUCCUUUAUCAACUACUUGUAAUAAUGUACGUGCAAUGCACGUUUAUAUUAGGUAGGAUAUUAGUUGCACGUUAUAUUAGGUAAGAUAUAUUUGUUGCAUGUUGGUAUUUGGUAAGAUAUUAAUUACUUUUUCACGGGAAUGGUAGGAUACUAAUUACAUGGCAGAUUUCAAGGAAUAACGUUGACAGGUAGGAUAUUAGUUGCACGUUAUAUUAGGUAAGAUAUAUCUGUUGCAUGUUGGUAUUUGGUAAGAUAUUAAUUACUUUUUCACGAGAAUGGUAGGAUACUAAUUAUAUGGCAGAUUUCAAGGGAUAGCAUUGACUCAAAAUGUGUUUAUAAUCAAUGGCAGUGGUGGUUAAUUAGAGCGGUUAACGUGUUUGGUGCUUAACAUUGGAGCGAUUUGAACCGCUAGAUAACAUGAUUUGACGGUCGAGAUGGUUUGGAUUUGCCCAUUUGGGUUUUUUUAUUGGUAUAGAUUAAUCUUAAGUCUAUAUUCACGAAGAGUAAUACCUUGUUCCAUCCAAAGGUGGCAUAAAAGGCAAAGUGCUGAUGGGACACAAUAGAUGCCUGGUUUUUACUGAAGCUACAAUUUAUUUUUAUUUUUGCGUUGUGAAGCUCCAGUUUAUACAAUAAAACGUGUGUGGAAGAAUGAAAGCUGAGGUGUCAUUUUAUUCAUGUUUGCUUUGAAAUACUCCUAUAUAUUUGGCAGAACAAUCAGCUCAAGUAUAAACAGAAAACACGGGAUGUGCCACAACAGAAAUUAUUGACUAUGUGGCGGCAUAGAAUAUUCCAAUUUUGUUCAAAAUUUCUUUCCCCAAUUUUAUGUCUAGGCUUUCAAAGUAAUGGUUGAUGAACAAAAAAUAUUGGAAAGUUAUAAAGUAUAACUACUGCAGCUAUCAAUAAUUAUAUAUUUGGUCCGUGUCCUUUUACCUCGUGAAAGAUAGAGAAUUUGUAGGUAGCUUCGGUUGAGGGAGCAGACUUGCACUCACCAAAUGUGCUAUAAAAUGUCCAAUUCAUGUGGUGUGAAUUACUCUGAAUAUAUAUGGAGUACUCAGUAUUCUCUCUCUCCCUCCCUCUCUCUCUCUCUCCGCGCCCGUCGGGGAAUAAAGUGACGAUUAUUCUAAAUAUAUAGGAAGAUUAAGAAACAAUAUCUCAUAAUUAACAAAUACUCUAACCUGGUAUGUUGCUUCUACUGUAUGCUGAUUCUUCAAGAGGUGUUCAUCACUGUCAACAUUUAUCCAUCAAUCAUUUGAAAAAAAAGAUCGAUAAGACUCGAACCAGCUUCACACUAUUCCCCUGUGCACUAACUAAUGUUUUGUUUAAUUAAAACCCUAAACCCAACUUCAAACUAUUCCCCUGGAUGCCAGCUAAUUUUUAGUUCAAGUACUAAGAUACUUAUGUGUUAGUUCAUGCAAAUUUACAAGCAUGUCUCAUAUCUUCGUAUACUUAUAGAAAUUCCUAUCAUUUUAUAGCAAAAAUAGAUGGGCGCGGCAACGCGCGCCGUAAUGGUCUAGUAUGGUGUUAUUUUACAACAAACUCUAGGGCUGUUUGUGACACUUAUAGGAAUAUAUAGCUCAAUAGAUUGAUCGAAAAGGAUAACUUUGAGGUGGCUUCGUACCCUACAAACCAUUUCCUCUUAUGUUCUCUCCUUGAUAAGAAUUUUGGAGUGAUUCUUUGUCGCGCGUUGAGGGAUUGUUAUAUGAUUCAAUUAUGUUAGCACCGUUGAGAGAUUGCAUUAGUGAAAGUAUUUGAACCCUAGGCCUUAUUUGUAAGCAUUGCAAUACUGUUCAUGCUCCGUUUUGUCACUUGCUACCUUGCUGUUUUUAUAUUUUCAUAUUACAAAAACCUAUAUCUACUAUCCAUACUAAACUUCUAUCACCAUCUCUUCGCCGAACUAGUGCAACUAUACAAUUUGUCAUUGUAUUGGGUGUGUUUGGGACACAAGAGAUUUCUUGUAUUUGAUUGCAGGUUAUGAGAAAGACCAUCUUCAUCCUACACCUCCAACGGAUUGAUAAACCUUAGGUCAUUCACUUGAGGCAAAUUUAUUGUUGUCCUACAAAACUCUGCACUUGGAGGCCUAACAUGAGUCUACAAGAAUAAAUUGUGUAGUAGACAUCGACUUGUUGGGGAGGUUACGAGCACAACGCGGUGCUCGGAUACGAGCGACAGAAGCUGUGUGCGCGGCGACGGGCUUUCGGCCAGAGCAGAACAAAGGUGACAACAGCGUUGCGACUGCGGAUCGAGAGUGUCGAGAGAGGGGAAAAGAUUGGGAGCUCACCUAGGGGGCACACGGUGGCCCGUUGGUGGCUUAGUAGCACAGAUGGUGGCCGGAUUCGACAAAGAACGUCGGUGACCGAAGGUUCAAGAGGAUCUCGAUCCGCUUGAUGCAGGCAUUCCCGACUCGAGCUGAUCGUUGUAGACGAAGUAGAAGAGGCAGGCGAAUCUCCUGGCGGGAUCUUAGUUGAUGGGGACGCCGGUGGCCAUGUGAACGGAGGAGACCAUGGCGAUGGUGGCAUUGGGGAGAAUCGAGCGGUGCGAGGGAGAGGGGAAAUUGAGCUAGGGUUUGUGCCGGGGGUUGGCCUUAUGCUCCAAGAGAGCCGGGGGAUGGCCGGCACGCCACAUGGCGCGGCCAUGGCCGGUGGAUGCCUGCCGCGAUCCCCCCUCCGCCGCGCAUGAACAGGAGGUAGGGAUGACACGUAUGUGGGCUGGGCCGCCACUAUAGUAGCAGGCCGAAGUGCACAAUAGUUUUUCUCUUUUUCUUUUAUUCUUUUCUGGUUCUUUUAUUUCUUUGCUAGUUUGCAUUUAAAUUUAAUACAAAUGAAUUUUGUUGAUUAUGAAACUUGGCACAUAAAUAGUAGUCAGUUUUUGAGCUAGCACAACAAGUCUCAAUUUAUUUUGAAUAUUUAUUUAAUAUGAAAAGGCUUAAUAUAAUGUUGCUAGUCCACUAAAAUAAUUACCAAGGGCGAUUUGGGCCUCCAAAUGGAGUUGAUAAUAUUUUUACCGAUACUUGGGGAAUUUAUGACAUAUUGUAAAGAAUUUUGUUCAGUGUUUGAAGAGAUAAUAAUUUGAUUUGCAAUUUAAAUUUGACUUUGAUUUUUAUCAAGUGGCAAUUUGGCUUAGUAAAACAUGAUGACAUGGCAUCACUAGCAUGGGUUCAUUAUAGCUUAACUAUUGGGGUGUUACAACCAUGGACCGGCGACUUCCUGGUCGGGUACCGCCGACCCUAACAUCUCUGCAAUCAGUGCAUCGUCAAUGAUAUCCAGGAGCCCGAGCGCACACCAAACACUCUGUGCACAAGUGUAGGUAAAUGACAAGUGAUGAAUAUUCUACAGACCUGACCGACAAAUAGGACAUUAUGGAGAGACGGGUAUAUGUCGCAAUGCAAGGAUCGCCAUGCGAGGAACUGUACCAUGCAGAGCCUUCCAUAGGAACACCUUACUCUUACUUGGGAUUUUUAACUUCCAUAAGAUGUCCCGCACCGGGUUCGGUGCAGCAGAGCCGGGAAAGUAUCAAGUACUCCCACCCCUAGGGUGCUCCGGGUGCACCCAUGCCGAAAAACAUUUUUAAAAUAUUCAAAAAAUUCUGAAAAAAUGCAGCACAUCGAUGGAACAUCGAUGUCUCUUGUCACAAAAUUUCAAAUAAAAAUUCAAAACAUUGCUCGAGAUAUAAAAAUGACAAAUUUGACGUCAAUGUGAUAAUGGGCCAAAUCUAAAGCCCAACUUAUGUUAUGUACAAAAACUUGUCAUUUUUGUAUCUCGAGCAAUGUUUCGAAUUUUGAUAUGAAAUUUUGUGACAAGAGACAUCGAUGUUCCGUUAAUGUGCUGUAUUUUUUUCAGAAUUUUUUGAACAAUUUAAAAAUGUUUUUCGGACAUUUGGAGCACCGGGAGUAUCCCAAGCCUGGGAGUACUAGAUACUUUCCCCAGCAGAGCCUUGCUCACCUUCUCUUCCAGUUCGUGCGCCGAAUAUAUGCUCCUAUUCAAUGUGACAGGCAGAGCGAACAGAGAAUAAAAAAAAAAGUUCUUAUACGACACCACAAAAUCUUCCUGCAAUGUGGACUCAAAGGGAUUGCAAGAAUAUUGUUUUGCAUCAGUGGGUAAGAAAAUAUCUCUGUUCGUCCCAGCCACCAUUAUGUUGAUCCAUCAGAUUGUCAGCAAUAUGCAGAACAGAAUAUGGUGGCCCCUCCUGGUAAAAACUUUCCUGGAGUGGCUAUUUGGGAUCCGAUGGUCUUCCCAAAUGUUAAUUCUUUCUCUUCAGCCAACUCUCUGAAUAUGUCACACUUCAAAGUUUGCAGUCGUGCAAGAAUGCUCCCCAAGCCCACGUUAGUACUGCAGACAUGUUUGCUGUAGGCCGGUUUGCUUCAGAGUUCACAUAAUGGAUUUCUUGAAUUUUGGUACAGAAGAAGAAGACCCAAACGAAUCUGCAUCUUCUGACCCGAAAAAUCAGGAGACACACUCCCGCUAACACUAUUUUAUGUAUUAUCUUUGUUUCUGAAUUUCUGUUGCACAAAUUGAUCACAUGGAUAGUUAAUAAACUUGAGCAUUAGCCACUGUACUUCCUAUAUGUCGAUAAACGGUACAUUGCUUUUCACUUUGCAGCCAGAGGUUUAGACUUCACAUGGAUUAAUGCAGUUAUUUUUGGAGAUAAUUGCUAAUUCAAACUUCAAGGUACUACCUUUUUCUUUUCUUAUCUUGAUAAAUGAUAAGCUUAGAACUUUAGUUAUAUAGGUAUAUCAAAAUUUAGGACCCUAUUUUGCAUUUCAUGCUAGCCUCACCCCACCGGCCGCCAUGGCUCGCACCAUGGCUGCUGUGUUUUUUUCUUGGCAGUGCCACCUCGGCUCUGCCUUGGCCUGCGAGCAUUGCUUGGAUGUGGCCUCGUUGCAACUACGAAUAAGGGUGCCGUCGAAACAGAGCUCCACAUCCAUCCCCGAAGCACACCCUACCCUGACACAUGUGCCGACGACCGCAAAGCUAACGCCUANNNNNNNNNNNNNNNNNNNNNNNNNNNNNNNNNNNNNNNNNNNNNNNNNNNNNNNNNNNNNNNNNNNNNNNNNNNNNNNNNNNNNNNNNNNNNNNNNNNNNNNNNNNNNNNNNNNNNNNNNNNNNNNNNNNNNNNNNNNNNNNNNNNNNNNNNNNNNNNNNNNNNNNNNNNNNNNNNNNNNNNNNNNNNNNNNNNNNNNNNNNNNNNNNNNNNNNNNNNNNNNNNNNNNNNNNNNNNNNNNNNNNNNNNNNNNNNNNNNNNNNNNNNNNNNNNNNNNNNNNNNNGGAAACCAUCGAGUGUGGAGGGGCGGUGAUGACGAUCUCUCCGAAGGGCUUAACGAGGGGUAGUAGAGGUCAUGCCAGUGGGCAGCGUGCCAGACGGUGAAAAAAAACCUUGGCGGCAAAAACUAGAGAAAAUGAAAAACCUCGAACUAGCACAUCCAAUCAGCACUAAAACUGGGAAAAAUACUAAAUGGCGUAAACCGUGGCACAUGUUUGCUUAAAUGGGGUAUAAAUGAAGUAAUAUCUGUCACAAACGUGAAACUUGCGGGUAAAGAGUGGAAUUAACUCUAAACUAUGUCAAGUAAGAAAACGCUUCUAUAUAUAAAAGUAUAUUGUACAAACCUUGGGACAUAUAAAUCUUACUGACAUGGUUCACACAAGCUAGACCAUGUGGCCUUCACUGACAUUACAAGACCGUACAUAUUACUUGAAAUUUUCGUAGAGCUUCCACUCUUCUGUGGUUCAAACCACACAGUGUCAAAUAUAAUAUCCUCAAUGUCGUAGUGAAAAUAUCCGGGAAUUUUCGAAUCACCAACAACGCCAUCAGGAUAGCAAUUAUCAUCACCUGAGUGACGGUUGUGCGUGUAUAAGUCUAUAGUCAAAUUCUCGGUGUAAUCCACACAAACCAUGACCGGUGGCAGUCUGCAAACACUCAACUUGCCAUUGAAGACUGAAAAAGCACCCCCUUGCAUGGUACGGUAGACCGCAGUUAUUGUAAGUGAAUCAAACAAAUUGUUCCCAAGAUGAUGCACCUCAAACUCCAACAUAGCCAACACGGCCUUUGGGAUAGAAGCCAUUCUUAGAUCGGCGCUGCCGUGGUGGCCAGUGUUAAUGUGCCAAUGGUGUCUUUCAUAUUCUGCAUAGAAAGAUGGAGCAUAGACCGAAUAUCCGUCUAUUAACACCUUAUCAUCUUCACCUUCUUCAUCUUUAAUUAGCAAACGAUAUUCAAUUAGCACAAGCCCAACCGCGUAGAUGCCUUGAAGUGGAUUAAGUAGAGGUUGAAGCUUACAAGAACCCUGUAUAUUGUAUAGUUAGACACAUAUCCUGCAGAUUUCUUCAGUAAAGAGAAAAUAAGAGAAGGUACAACAUAACUCACCGGCUUAAGCUUACAUGGUUUGUCUCUAGAGUAUUCAAAGACAUAGUUGCGUAGUUGGUUGUUUCGUACAUCUCGGAAUGCAAACAUGCCGUAGACCUCUAAGGUGGCAUCGUGAGGAGACGAUAAAUUCAAACUAAACACUUGGAUUGCCCGUCGACAAGGUUCAUUCUCCCUUUUGUCGACCCAACGGUUUUCCCAUCUUGGCAAUAGAGGCACUGCAGGCAAUAUGAAAACAAAUCAUUAGAUAUCAAAAGUUGCACAGUAAAUACAUGGAUAAUGUCAUAUAGAUUAGAACUUCGGAAUCUUACAAUAUAUAGAACCCGAGGAAGACUUCUCUCGAUUUUUCUCUUUACACAUGCUUAGGUAUUUUUUUAUGACUUAUGGAACUCCCUUCCCUUGGUCCACAAGCAAAUCAUUGGACAUGGCGUAGAAAUAGAGAAUAUGACUUGCUCAAGAUACAAUCGCCAUGCGCAUGCAAAUCUUUUUUUAACUUUAUUUAUAAAGGCAUACCGUCAAACUUUCUAAAAAAUUGCCACCGGUACAAACAUAUUUGAGAUUGUGAUGUUCUAGAAUCUGUGGGUUCAAAACUUAUAAAAUGUACUUGUCAUCAUAUGCUUAAAACUAAGUGAAUUCAUCAAAACAUAAAAACUAGUACACAAUUGCAAUUAAGCGUGGCCACUUACGCAAGCUUUGAGCAGAUAACAGUGUUGGAUCGAGCUGACACGGGCCCUUGACCUGAAGAGACCCCUCCCAGAUCCCCCUUGAUCUCUUGGCGCAGGACCUGGUCGGCGGAAACCGCAUCUGAUUCUCCCACCUCUCCUCCAUGUCGGCGACGUAAUAAGGGUUCCCGUCCUCGUAGUAGAACCACCAUAGUGGAGCUCCUUUUCUUCUUGGUCUGAUUCGUAGUACUCGUAAUUGCCUUCGUCGUCUCGCUCUUGCUGUUCCUGCAGGAUGGAGUCCAGCUCCCUGUCCCACAGCCAGGUGCCGAGCACCUCAUCCUCUAGCUUCUUUCUCAGGGCCGCCAUGUCCAGAUCCGGCUCCAUGGCCGCCGAGGCGCCGCGAGAUCGAUCCGCGAGACAGAUUUACAGGGGACAAAAGGGAGGAACUGACCUUCUUCUCCACCCUCCGUGAUCUCCUUCCUCCGCCGACACGGACGGAUCGAGAGGCGAUUUUCCGGCGGGCGCCGAGGCGAUCUCCCUCGAUGAACGGCCGCCGCCGAGGCGAUCUCCUUCCUCGCGGACGCGACUUCGCUGCUGACUCUUUGCAACAGCGGCUACUGGGCUUUCUACUUUUCAACCCGGGCGGGGGUCUAAUGGGCUUUCUACUAGUACUAUUAUUUUACGUGAUAGUCAGGCCGAAAUUGAAUAUAUAUUUUUACGAUCAUGUUUAUUUUUUUUCAACAUAACUAACUUUAUUCCUCAUAUAAUAGCCAUGCCAUUUACAAUAAAAUCAUGUUUUUCCAUAAAAAACAAUAAAAAUCAUGUGAUUCUAAGAAAAAAAAUCAUGUUUCUCAAUCAAUGUGCGGGUACACUAAAAAAAGUCAAUAUGCGGCUAGUAGCUUCAUGGUGGCAGAGGUUUGCAAGGGUUGGCAUGGUGGUGAGAGAUCAUGAGGGAUCGGUGCUCAUUUCUUCAUGGUCUGCACAAAUGUCGAGGAAAUAGAACCGCGAGCUUGUUUAGUGGGAUUGUAUAUUGCAGUUUCACCGCAUAAGCCCGUCAUUUUGGAGACUAACUGUUUGUUUACAAAAAUAUAUUUGUCUAAUAAUGUUUUGUAUAACUCAGCCCUCGUGGAUUUAAAGAGGGAAGCCUUAGGUGUCCCUCAACUUAUUCCACAGUGUAACAUGGCAUGGAUUACUAGGGACAAGAACAAAGUGGGCCAUUAGAUUGCUAAAUUUCGUCUUGAUUCUAGAUUGGGUGGAUUAAUUUUAGCAGAGUGUACCAUCCUGCGAAACGGAUUCUAUAACGAACGAUUGUAUUCAAGUUUAUUAAUUAAUAUGUGAAUGGGUUUAAAAAUGUUUAUCAAUUAAUGAAAGCAGUAAAGUGAAGCUUUUUAAAAUAUUUUUGUCACUAACUCAUUGAGGUAAUCUUGAUAAAACUUUCUAGAUGCCUCCAACUCCCAAUUUGAUCUGAACUCUAAUUUUAGCUAAUCCAACAAGUUUACACUGUCACAACACAUUUCUUGUGUACUAACUGUAAGCCUUCGUAGCAACAGGACAAAACUAAGUGAAACCACUUCACACUGUAGCAAACAAUAGAAUCACUGAAGAAAACAGUGAGGUGUCAGAAUUGAUCUCAAUCUACAAGAGGCCGGUCAAUGGUUGAAAUGAUUUUGAGCAAUCAUAGCCACUAUAAUAGCCUUAAGGGUGAGUAUGUGUCUUGUGAGUGGAGAGGGGGCAAGGGCGGGGCAAUGGGGCGCAUUUAAAAGGCAGUUCAAUGAAAGUGGGAUUUGAGGAGCAUGCCACCAACCAUAAGGGGCAGUGCAUGUUCUUGUCAGUUGGCCGAUAUAAAUGUUUGAAUCAGGGUACCAUGAGUUUAAAUUCUGAGAUUAUACAUUAUUACUAGUACUAUGUGAAAGUGCGUUAUAUCGACUAGAGGGGGGUGAAUAGGUGAUUUUUAUGAAAGUCUUCAAAACAUGGAAGUUUCGAAGACAAACGAUAGAGAUAAACCUAUUACCAUGCAGCGGAAGGUAGACUACACUAGGCAAACCAUAGUCAAGUUGUCAAUGAAGUGAAAGCACAAUGACUAAUAGCAGCUAGGUAGUAAGGAUCAGGUAGGAAGAUAUUAUGAAGCCAAACAGAACACACAGUCACUCAGUGAAGACAAAAAAUAGUGCAAUCAUACAAUGACUUCACCAGGACCAACAGUAAGUAAAGGGAAGGGAAGGAUGAAACCAGUGACUCGUUGAAGACAAUGAUUUGUUGGACCAGUUCCAGUUGCUGUGACAACUAUACGUCUGGUUAGGGCGGCUAGGUAUUUAAACCUGAGGACACAUAGUCCCGGACACCCAGUCCUGAACACGCAGCUCAGGACACCCAGUCCUCACCGUAUUCCCCUUGAGCUAAGGUCACACAGACCUCGCCCAAUCACUCUGGUAAGUCUUCAAGGUAGACUCCCAAACCUUCACAGACUUCGUUCACCGGCGAUCCACAAUGUCUCUUGGAUGCAAAGAACGCGACGCCUAACCGGCUGGAGGAUUCACAGUCCUCAAGUCUAAUAAAUCUUCAGAUCACACAGACAAAAAGACUUAAGUGAUGCCUAACACUCUUUGGCUCUGGGUGGUUAGGGCUUUAUCCUCGCAAGGAAUUCUUUCUCAAAGGCUUCGAGGUGGGUUGCUCUCAAACGACAAAAGCCGUACUCUAACUCUGAGCAGCCAACCGUUUAUGGUUGUAGGGGAUGGGCUAUUUAUAGCCACUAGGCAACCCGACCUGAUUUGUCCGAAAUGACACUGGGUCACUAAGGAACUGACACGUGUUCCAACGGUCAGAUUUCAAACACACACGACAACUUUACUUGGGCUACAAGCAAAGCUGACUUGUCCGACUCUGGACAAGAUUCGCUCUCAUAGUCUUCACCCGAAGACAUAGGUUUUGGUUAAGCAUCACUUCAGUCAUUCUGACUGGUUCUCUUGGACCCCACUUAACAGUACGGUGGUUCCUAUGACUCAACAAAGAAGAAAAAGAACUACUAUAGAUCUAAGUCUUCGAGCUCCAUAGGCUUCAUGCGAUGUCUUCUCUUGUCAUAGUCUUCGAUGAGAAUAUCUUCAUAUACCACCUUUGACAUCAAUGUCUUCAUACAUUUUUAGGGGUCAUCUCUGGUAGGAAAACCGAAUCAAUGAGGGACUUCUACCUGUGUUAUCCUGCAAUUCUCACAAACACAUUAGUCCCUCAACUAGGUUUGUCGUCAAUACUCCAAAACCAACUAGGGGUGGCACUAGAUGCACUUACAAUCUCCCCCUUUUUGGUGAUUGAUGACAAACUAGUUGAAAUUUUCAACGGGGAAUAUAAUAUGUGAAAUUGUAAAAGGAUAAGGAAUUGUCUUCAUAAGCUGUGAGGGCUCCCCCUGAAGAUGUGCAUAUAAGUAAUUUGCUUUUGGAAUGCAAAUGCACAUGGCAGGUUGUGCUUGUGGAGAUCCUCUUCAACUUAUGAUGACAAUCCAUUAUGCAUGAGAAGGUAUGUGAAGAUAAUGACAUGCAUAAUGGAAAAUUGACGUCUGCAAAAUGAUCUAAGUGCGGAAUUUAUCGUCGCACAUUCGGAAUUUAUCAUUGCAUCACGAAGUAGCAAAUAAGUAGCAGACGACCAUCGAGUUUAGGUGUUACAACUUGAAGAAUCAAAAGUAUCGAAACGAGAGUUGUAAACACGAGGAAAAAUAUAAAGUAACCGCCCAUGUGGACCCGCUUGAAGACUAUCAAACUCAUAUGCUUCUCCCCCUUUUGUCAGUAAGGACCAAAAAGGUUUGAAGACAUAGAGCAUCUACUCGUUCCCAUGAAGAGUAGGUGAAGCAGCAGGGUCGUCGGUGGUGUUCGGCGGUGCAGAAGAACUUGGAGCAGGGUCGAAGCGUGUUGAAGGAGGUGGCGGUGAAGUAGCAUCGUCUUCAUCCUCGAUCACUCUGGCAUUCACAGUUGCAGCAGAGGAAGAGAACUCAGAGUCUUCAAGAGAUGGAGUUCGUUGCAGCACUGCCCUUCGAGGAGGUGUGGAGUCAAACUUGAAGCGUUCAGAGAAGCCAUCUUCUUGAAGAUCAUCUUCAGAGCACAUAAGCGUCAGCCCUUUCCAUGUGCGUCGAGAGGUUUCAUGGGCAACAAAGGCAUUCUUGGUGGCAAGAUUGUGAAUGCGGUUGACAUCCACCAAGAGGCUUUGCAUUUGGCGCUUCAGCCAGUCAUGAUGCUUAUCCUGUUUCUGAUGAAGAGCCACUAGAAGCUCUCGGUCAUUAAGGACACGAGUGCGCUUCUUGGGUCAUUGGGCAAUUGUGUUAUCGGUGGCUUCAGUAAGGGCAGGAUGUGGUGCACAUGUAGUUCCAGCCAUCGGAUAAACACGAGUGGCUGCUUCAACUCCUUCAAUGUUCUGAGAAAAACUUUGAUGCUCCGCAUUCUAAAGACUAAGAGGAUCCUUGGCAGGCUCAGGAUAAAUGGCUUCAACGGACAUAUCCACAUCAGGCAGAAAGAUCCGAUGAUUGCGAGCAGAUGGCUGAUAUGAGAUAGCGGAGUGGAGUUUAAUCAGCCGCAUUAUCCAUGGAGCAUAAAACUUCAAGCCAAAUAGAUCAGAGCUUGAUGCAGCAAGUUGGCGGAUGAAGAAGUCCUGUGCAUUGAAGCAUUUGCCAUGAAGAAUAUAGAAGACCAAAGUCUUCAUUGCACCUUCCAGCUUGGCAUGUGGAAAAUGUCCUUUGAUGGGCCAGAGAGUUCGCCUUAUGAUGUGAUAAAUAGUCCUUGGCAGAUAGUCAAGGUCUUCAACAAGGAACUCCUUAGGAUAUGCAGCUUCUUGUGGCAAUGGCUUCAUCAUACUGAGCAUCUGACUCAUGUUUGGUUCAGCUUUCUGAAAGAUGCUCUCCAUAGCUUCACUGUGAAGCUGACAGCCAGGUUCGUAGAGAUCGCCAGGAGUGGGGAGACCAGUGAGCUCAAUGAUAUCAAAGGCUUUGGCUUCGUGAUGAACAUUUUGUCAUCCACUCCAGGACCCAAGUAUUCGGAUCUCUGUUGUACCCACAGAUGUGAAGUGUGGCAUAGAAUUGGAGCAGCAACUCUUCAUUCCAGUGCUCUUGGUCGGUGACAAACGACAGCAAUCCAACCUCUUUGAAGUAAUCCAGAGCUUCUCCCAGACAGGGAAGACCAGCUAUUGCUUCGAUGUCAAGACGCUUACGUGGAAAGAUGCGACCUUGAUUGUACAGAAUGCAGGAGUAAUAGCUUCGCUGCGGAUAGCUCCAGAACUGAUCAGAAGAUAUUCUUUCCCUUGAGUAGGGGUUCUUGGAGCUAUUGAAGAAGUUGUGUCUACUUUGAAGCCAUUGACAUUGAAGGAUCCAGGUGCUGAUGCAGGACCUGGAAACCUGGGCAAUCUUGGGAUUGGCUUCUGUACCUGAGGCCUGUGCUCAACAUGAUAGUCAAACUGAGGACCAGCAGCAGGCGCGGGAACAGAAGCAGUAGUAUCAUUGGCUUCGCUGACUUCUGGUGCUUUUGUUGGUGUAGGCUCCACAUUGGCUUCAGCCAUGACAGCGUCAGUGGCUUCAUUGGUGUUGGUGGUGGCAGCCUCACGAUUCUCAACCUCCACUUGAUGAGCUGGAGGGUCGAUCACAGUCACGUUCUCCUCGAGAACAGCUUCUUGGUGAGACGGGGGUGUAGUAGCGCUUGGGGUUUUUUCUUCAUCGGCUGAUGCAGCCGGAAUGUCUUCAGCAGCUUUAGCUUCAGACUCGGAGACUGGAGGCCUUGGUCCUUUGCGAAGCUUGCAUAACGCUGGCGAUGCCUGUGGAGUUGGAGUUGGCUGGGCCUCAAAGUCAUCUUCCUUUUGUGCUUGUGGGUGAUCAUCCCAUGAUGCAUCCUGAGCAAUUGGCGUCAGAGGAUGACCAAUGCUGAUGAGCUCGCUGUGCGUUAGCACAGGCAAUGAUACCUGUUGGUGCUCGAUCUGAGGAAGAACUGCAUCAUCUUCAACAUGGUCAUGGUGACCAAUGUCUUCAGCAGCGGUGGGAUCAGCUGCUGGGAAGUUUUCGGCUUCAUGAGCCUCUGUGAAAGCAGGCUCAUGGACAGUCAGUUGGCACUCUUGAUGUUCAGUGGCUGGGCGAACCAUGGAGAUGGGUUCAACAAUCAAGGGCUCUGUGGGAGCAGCCCGUUCCUUCUUGGUCUUCCGCUUCUUCUUGGAGGGAGCAGUAGCAGAGGAUUCAGGAUGUUUCCUCUUUCUGGCUUCAGCCUCAGCAGUCCUCGUCUUCUUCAGUUCUGAAGCGGUUGACCUGGCCUUUGGCUUCGAGCCAGUCAUGCUAGUUGGGAAGACAAUGGGAUCUGUUUCCUGCCUUGGUGCGUCGGGUUCGGCCAUAGCGGGCUUCUUCUUCUUCUUUGCAGCCAUCCUGGGGUCGAUGCCAGGAUGCCCAAGGGCCUUGCGCUUCUCAGCCUCAUUGUAGGCUUGCACACACUUGUCAGCCAGGCUCUUCAUGCGCUCAUGAGAACCUUGAGCUUCUUCACGCUUCUUGAGAAAGGCUUCUUUAAGUUCGUGCAGCAUGAUCGUGAAGUUCUUGACCUCUUGCGUGCUAAGCUUGGCCAUAUGCUUCUUGAACUGAGCUUUCUCAAAGUCAAUCUUCUGCUUCAGUUCGACGAUGCGCUGAGCUAGAGCUAGCUCUGAAGCAAUGGCGCCAUGGAAGGCGACACCAAGACCAAUGGGAAGUUGCAGGUCUUCAAAGUUGAGGUUGGGCGUUUCAAACCACUCAUCAAUAAAGUCGUGGAUGAUUGCCACGUCAAAGAGAGGCAAAUUGUUGAAGAUUUCUACUUCUUCUUUGCUCUUGAUCAGUUGCUCAAGAGCGUCAUCUGCAAGAUCUUCAUCACUGGACAGAUCAAUGGCAUCGUUGCGCAGAAUAGCAGCAGCUGUCAGUUCUUGGCUGGUGUGUGGCAAAGGCAUCUUGACCUUCUGGGGCUUGGAGAUGCGUGACAAAUCUUCAGACUGCACACUGUCUUCAGGGGGUGCAGUAGCCAGUGGCUUCGCCCGUGAGAUUUUUGGUGCAUAGGUAGGCUUUGAAGCUUUAGGCUGCUUCAACUUCUUUGGCUCGGCGCUGCAGGCGCUUUAUCUGAUUCAGCGUCAUCUGCAGGCUCAUUCACGGCUGUCCCUUGAACCACGAUAUGAGUGAUGAGACCUUCCAAGUUGUAGAAGGGCCCAAGAAGAUUGGGUUCAACUUCGCGGGUUCCAUCGGCACAGGGAGCAGAGGGACCAGGGUUGAAGUCUAAUCCCAAAGACUUCUUGUUCUGCUUCGCUGAGUUCUUGGCAAACUGGAAGUUGCGCUUGAACAGAUUGUCGUCACGACACCAUAGUAGUGACGAUGGGUGUGCAUCUGCAGGCUGUGGCUCACGGACCAUGUAGGGAUAGAAGCCUUGUUCAAUGGCUUCUUCUCUGGACCUGGGUUGAAGAUUCUUGUAUAGGAUGUUUCCCCACGGUCGCUGGAUGGCAUUUUUCUCAGCAUAUUCUUGGGUCACAAACCGGUAUUUGAACCAUUGUUCUGCCCAAUAUCUUUGAAUCCAUUGGAUUCGGGUCUUGCGCUGAUUGUAAUCCUCUUCAGGAUCUGUCUUGUAAAGCUCUGAGAGGUCAUCAGGCAAAUCUCUUGAUGUUCCCCCACGACGUUGUCUGCCUCCCUUCCUUGCAGAUUUCUCUGUAGCCAUGAAUUUUAAACUGAAUGGCUUCACAAUGUUCAAAGGCUUCAGAGGCUUUCGCUUGCUGGACAAACAGGAACUGGCUUCGGGAGAAUUUAUAUGAUGUUGUAAGAAUUCUGCAAAUGAAUGCAGACUAUGAGAACCAAAGGAUUCUCCCACGAACAUGUACCUGUGACAUCACUAGUAGAAAAAGGGUCAAACGUGAAGCACAUUACUGCCGGUUUGAAUUUGAACCGGCACUAAUGGUACCAUUAGUGCCGGUUCGAACGGAUAUGCAUUAAUGCCGGUUCGUGUUGAACCUUUAGUACCGGUUCGUGCCACAAACCGGUACUAAAGGGGUGAUGGCAGGCUGGCGUCAGGCCGGGGCCCCACGAUCACCUUUAGUACCGGUUCGUGUCACAAACCGGUACUAAAGGGCUAACCUUUAGUACCGGUUUGUUCCACGAACCGGUACUAAAGGGGUCUGACCUAUAGUACCGGUUUGUGACACAAACCGACACGUAGGGCAAUUUUCNNNNNNNNNNNNNNNNNNNNNNNNNNNNNNNNNNNNNNNNNNNNNNNNNNNNNNNNNNNNNNNNNNNNNNNNNNNNNNNNNNNNNNNNNNNNNNNNNNNNNNNNNNNNNNNNNNNNNNNNNNNNNNNNNNNNNNNNNNNNNNNNNNNNNNNNNNNNNNNNNNNNNNNNNNNNNNNNNNNNNNNNNNNNNNNNNNNNNNNNNNNNNNNNNNNNNNNNNNNNNNNNNNNNNNNNNNNNNNNNNNNNNNNNNNNNNNNNNNNNNNNNNNNNGCCAUUUUCAGUUCUGAAAAAAUCAAAAUAAAAUGAUAAAAACUUCAAAAAAUAAAAUCCUUCGAGAGGUAGUUAUAUUACUACAUCUACUAGUUAGGAAAAUUUGAAAACUUAAAUUUGGACAUGUUUUGCAAAAAGUGUAGGGAAAAUAUAAAACGGCUAUAACUUUUGCCUACGAUGUCGGAAAAAAUGUAUAAUAUAUCAAAAAAUUCAGCAUGAAAAUCCGCAUCUGAUGGAGAUGGCCUACGGCCUGUUUGCAAUUUUUUAGAAUCCUCAAAUUCCAAAACGAAAAAAAGAUAUGGUCAAAUUUCAAUUUUUUUAAAAAAAACUGGUUACAUCUGGUCAAACUACUUAUUCAAGGAGUAUUAAUGUUACUACAUAAUUAUUCAAGAAUAUUAGUGUUACUAAAUAAUUAUUUCAAUUUUUUAAAUUUUGGUCAAAUCUGGUCAAACUGUGGUCAAACUAUGGUCAAACUUAUUCAAGAAAUAUUAGUGUUACUAAAUAAUUACUGUUUUUUAGAAUAAUAGUUUCAAACUCAAACGGUGAAACGUGUGACCUAAUGCUCAAGCUAAACUGCUGAGGGUUAAUAGGAUUGACAGCUUACAUUUGUCAGGAAAACAACAAGUGCAGACUUGGAAUGUAGGAGGAAUAGAACUCUGAAGUUAAGUGUGCUCAGUCUGGGGGAGUGAGAGGAUGGGUGACCGGCCGGGAAGUCAGGCGAUUUGGAAUGAGUGAUCCACACUUGAGCAGUUAAGAGAGGUGAUUAGAGACUAAAUCAUCAAAUAAUUCAGAAAAAUUAAAAAUAAAAAAAAAUAAUUUUUUCCCAAAAUUUUCAAAAAAAAAUAAAAAAAACCUUUAGUACCGGUACUAAAGGUCCCCCAUACCAGGGCGCGAGCUCACGCCACAUGGUGGCACUUUAGCGCCGGUUCGUGCCGAACCGGUACUAAAGGGGGGGGGGCCUUUAGUGCCCACCCCCUAGUGUCGGUUAUGGAACUGGCACUAAAGGCCCUUACGAACCGGUGCUAAAGCUCCGUUUUCUACUAGUGCAACAUUAAGGUGCGAGGGAAGGGGAAGAGGUCAUAUGCAUUCUCAGAAGAUUUUGAAGAUAAAUCAGUUUAGAAGACAUUGACCUCAUCGUGCGAAGACAUUCACUCAUAGAUAAGGAGUUGGUUCCAGAUUUGUACGAAUUCACGGAUCAGUACAAGUGAGGAAUCUAACUACUUUGUGAAGCACAAGUGAAUAUACUAGGCAUAUUAUGAGAUGAAGUAUGAACUAGAUCCAACUUAUGUGAACAGAAACUGCUUGUGGUAGAAAGUGACGAAUCUAUAGGAUCAAAGGGGCCGUAAAAAGAAAGUUUUAUUUACCACACGUAGAACUGCUAGACGGAGUGGAAGAGGAGGCCGAGCAGUUCAAUCAUCCGUGCCCUAACUUGGCGACGGAGGACACCUACGGCGAUGGCGGAGAAGACGAUGUCUGCGGUCGGUGUGAAGACGGCGUCGGAGAGGUUGCGGCAGCUAAGCGCUUCGUCGCCGGCGUCGUCGAGGGCUAGCGGUGGCGCUAGGGUUCGUGCGAGAGUGGAAGAAGAGAUAAUGACUGUGGUGAGGCGUGUAUUUAUAGGGACAGGGGUGGCUCAGUGUUAUUACACAGGUGCCCCUGGAGAUUCACAUCUGAGGAACAUGUGGCCAUUAUGCAGCAUAUCGGGGGUUGUUCCACGUCCCACGCACGCCUGGAUUGUCAGGUGGUUGUUCCCACUUCUCCAGGUUUCAGGUGAAGGAAUGAGCAUUGAAAAUGGACUUAAUGUUUGUCUCUGUAUCUUCUGCUAACAAGGACGCAGAGAAGACAUUCGACAAUUUUAAUAGAAUGCAUAUGAUUUGGAGAGAUAGAGUUUGAGAUAGAAGGCAUAGAGAGGUUAGGGUCCGAUCACAUUCACUUAGUUCAAAAGAUUCAACAAGAAGACAUAGCUAUAAGUGAAUGCUGUAGAGGACAGAACACUAGUAUAUAUAUAUAAUCAAUAUAGUGAAGGUAAUCAUGAAGACAUGUUGAAAUUGAAGCCAAACCAAAUGUGAAGACAUAGUAAAUGUAACGCCAUGAGUGAAACCUUUCAAACAGAACCUUUGGUGGUGGUGUUACCCACCGUAUAGGAAGUAUUAGACCCAGACACGGCGCACAAUUAUCGUGGUGCUUCGAAGUCAAAUUCCACAUUAAUGUAUUCACACUUAGAAUGUAUGUCUUCAUUGAUUGAAGAUAUACUUUACUUCAUGUGUUGCACAUCUAAGUCAUCAAUAUGCAUAAGUGUUAGGAUGUAUGCCUGAUCACAGGACAUUUGAGGAUUCCAAGAUAUUUAGCUCACACCGUAACUUGCAAAAUCUCUUCUCAUCCAAGGGCUUGGUGAAGAUAUCUGCCAAUUGCUCUUCAGUGUUGACGUGUAUGAUAUCAAUAUCUUCCUUCACAACAUGAUCUCUGAGAAAGUGAUGACGAAUUUCAAUGUGCUUUGUCUUCGAGUGCUGAACUGGGUUGUUGGCAAUCUUGAUGGCGCUUUCGUUGUCGCAGUAGAGUGGCACUUGCUUCAGAUGAAUGCCAUAGUACUUGAGUGUUUGCUUCAUCCAUAGAAGCUGAGCGCAGCAAGAUCCAGCAGCAAUGUAUUCAGAUUCAGCAGUGGAGAGAGAUACAUAGUUCUGCUUCUUUGAAGACCAACAUACAAGUGAUCGUCCCAGAAAAUGACAUGUGCCUGAUGUAGACUUGCGAUCAACCUUGUCACCAGCAUAAUCAGCAUCCGAGAAUCCAACCAGAUCAAACUCUGAGCCCUUUGGAUACCAUAAUCCUAGAGUUGGGGUGUGAGCCAAAUAUCGAAGAAUUCGCUUCACAGCUAAGUGAUGCGACUCCUUUGGUGCCGCUUGGAAUCGAGCACACAUGCAAACACUAAGCAUAAUAUUUGGCCUAGAUGCACAUAGAUAAAGUAAAGAACCAAUCAUGGAGUGGUAUACCUUUUGAUCGAACUCUUUACCAUUGUCGUCGGGACCUAGAUGAUGUUUGGCUGGCAUUGGCGUCAUGAAGCCUUUGCAGUCUUGCAUACCGAACUUCUUCAGGCAAUCUUUGAGAUACUUCUCUUGAGAUAUGGAGAUGCCGUUGUGUUGCUGUCAUAUUUGAAGACCGAGGAAGAACUUCAGCUCUCCCAUCAUGGACAUCUGAUAUUGCUCUAGCAUCAUAUAUCCAAACUCUUCACUGUACUUCUGAUUGGUGUAGCCGAAGAUAAUGUCAUCCACAUAUAUUUGGCACACAAACAGUUCACCAUCAUAUGUCUUCGUGAAGGGAGUGGGGUCGAGGGAACCAGGUAUGAAGCCUUUGCUCUUCAGGAAGUAUUUGAGUGUGUUAUACCAAGCCCGAGGGGCUUGUUUGAGGCUAUACAGUGCCUUGUUGAGCUUGUAUACCAUGUCAGGAUGUUUUGGAUCUUUAAAGACAGGCGUUGUGCAACAUACACUUCUUCUGAAGGAAAUAUGCCCUAGAGGCAAUAAUAAAGUUAUUAUUUAUUUCCUUAUAAUCAUGAUAAAUGUUUAUUAUUCAUGCUAGAAUUGUAUUUACCGGAAACAUAAUACAUGUGUGAAUACAUAGACAAACAAAGUGUCACUAGUAUGCCUCUACUUGACUAGCUCGUUAAUCAAAGAUGGUUAUGUUUCCUAAACCAUGAACAAUGAGUUGUUAUUUGAUUAACGAGGUCACAUCAUUAGCAGAAUGAUCUGAUUGACAUGACCCAUUCCAUUAGCUUAGCACCCGAUCGUUUAGUAUGUUGCUAUUGCUUUCUUCAUGACUUAUACAUGUUCCUAUGACUAUGAGAUUAUGCAACUCCCGUUUACCGGAGGAACACUUUGGGUACUACCAAACGUCACAACGUAACUGGGUGAUUAUAAAGGAGUACUACAGGUGUCUCCAAUGGUCGAUGUUGGGUUGGCGUAUUUCGAGAUUAGGAUUUGUCACUCCGAUUGUCGGAGAGGUAUCUCUGGGCCCUCUCGGUAAUACACAUCACAUAAGCCUUGCAAGCAUUACAACUAAUAUGUUAGUUGUGAAAUGAUGUAUUACGGAACGAGUAAAGAGACUUGCCGGUAACGAGAUUGAACUAGGUAUUGGAUACCAACGAUCGAAUCUCGGGCAAGUAACAUACCGAUGACAAAGGGAACAACGUAUGUUGUUAUGCGGUCUGACCGAUAAAGAUCUUCGUAGAAUAUGUAGGAGCCAAUAUGGGCAUCCAGGUCCCGCUAUUGGUUAUUGACCAGAGACGUGUCUCGGUCAUGUCUACAUUGUUCUCGAACCCGUAGGGUCCGCACGCUUAAGGUUACGAUGACAGUUAUAUUAUGAGUUUAUGCAUUUUGAUGUACCGAAGGUUGUUCGGAGUCCCGGAUGUGAUCACGGACAUGACGAGGAGUCUCGAAAUGGUCGAGACGUAAAGAUUGAUAUAUUGGAAGCCUAUAUUUGGAUAUCGGAAGUGUUCCGGGCGAAAUCGGGAUUUUACCGGAAUACCGGAAGGGUUACCGGAACCCCCCGGGAGCUAUUUGGGCCAUAGUGGGCCUUAGUGGAAAAGAGAAGGGGCUGCCCUAGAUGGGCUGCGCGCCCCCCCUUCCCCUAGUCCUAUUAGGACUAGGAGAGGUGGCCGGCCCCCUCCUCCUCUUUUCCCCUCCGAGGAAUCCUAGUUGGACUAGGAUUGGAGGGGGAAUCCUACUCCCAGAGGGAGUAGGACUCUCCUGCGCCUCCCCCCCUUGGCCGGCCAGCCUCCCCUCCUCUCCUCCUUUAUAUACGGAGGCAGGGGCACCUCUAAACACACAAGUUGACACAAGUUGAUCCACGUGAUCUAUUCCUUAUCCGUGUGCAGUGCCCCCUGCCACCAUAUUCCUCGAUAAUACUGUAGCGGAGUUUAGGCGAAGCCCUGCUGCUGUAGUUCAUCAAGAUCGUCACCACGCCGUCGUGCUGACGAAACUCUUCCCCGACACUUUGCUGGAUCGGAGUCCGGGGAUCGUCAUCGAGCUGAACGUGUGCUCGAACUCGGAGGUGCCGUAGUUUCGGUACUUGAUCGGUUGGAUCGAGAAGACGUACGACUACUUCCUCUACGUCGUGUCAUCGCUUCCGCAGUCGGUCUGCGUUGGGUACGUAGACAAUACUCUCCCCUCGUUGCUAUGCAUCACAUGAUCCUGUGUGUGCGUAGGAAAUUUUUUGAAAUUACUACAUAACCUAACAGUGGCAUCCGAACCUAGGUUAUUUAUGUUGAUGUUAUAUGCACGAGUAGAACACAAGUGAGUUGUGGACGAUACAAGUCAUACUGCCUACCAGCAUGUCAUACUUUGGUUCGGCGGUAUUGUUGGACGAGACGACCCGGACCAACCUUACGCGUACGCUUACGCGAGACCGGUUCCCUCGACGUGCUUUGCACAGAGAUGGAUUGCGGGCGACUGUCUCUCCAACUUUAGUUGAACCAAGUAUGGCUACGCCCGGUCCUUGCGAAGGUUAAAACGGAGUCUAUUUGACAAACUAUCGUUGUGGUUUUGAUGCGUAGGUGAGAUUGGUUCUUACUUAAGCCUGUAGCAGCCAUGUAAAACAUGCAACAACAAAGUAGAGGACGUCUAACUUGUUUUUGCAGGGCAUGUUGUGAUGUGAUAUGGUCAAGGCAUGAUGCUGAAUUUUAUUGUAUGAGAUGAUCAUGUUUUGUAACCGAGUUAUCGGCAACUGGCAGGAGCCAUAUGGUUGUCGCUUUAUUGUAUGCAAUGCAAUAGCGGUGUAAUGCUUUACUUUAUUACUAAACGGUAGUGAUAGUCGUGGAAGCAUAAGAUUGGCGAGACGACAACGAUGCUACGAUGGAGAUCAAGGUGUCGCGCCGGUGAAGAUGGUGAUCAUGACGGUGCUUCUGGAGAUGGAGAUCACAAGCACAAGAUGAUGAUGACCAUAUCAUAUCACUUAUAUUGAUUGCAUGUGAUGUUUAUCUUUUUAUGCAUCUUAUCUUGCUUUGAUUGACGGUAUCAUUAUAAGAUGAUCUCUCACUUAAUUAUCAAGAAGUGUUCUCCCUGAGUAUGCACUAUUGCCAAAGUUCGUCGUGCCCAGACACCACGUGAUGAUCGGGUGUGAUAAGCUCUACGUCCAUCUACAACGGGUGCAAGCCAGUUUUGCACACGCAGAAUACUCAGGUUAAACUUGACGAGCCUAGCAUAUGCAGAUAUGGCCUCGGAACACGGAGACCGAAAGGUCGAGCGUGAAUCAUAUAGUAGAUAUGAUCAACAUAAACGAUGUUCACCAUUGAAAACUACUCCAUCUCACGUGAUGAUCGGUCAUGGUUUAGUUGAUUUGGAUCACGUAAUCACUUAGAGGAUUAGAGGGAUGUCUAUCUAAGUGCGAGUUCUUAAAUAAUAUGAUUAAUUGAACUUAAAUUUAUCAUGAACUUAGUACCUGAUAGUAUCUUGCUUGUUUAUGUUGAUUGUAGAUAGAUGGCUCGUGCUGUUGUUCCGUUGAAUUUUAAUGCGUUCCUUGAGAAAGCAAAGUUGAAAGAUGAUGGUAGCAAUUACACGGACUGGGUCCGUAACUUGAGGAUUAUCCUCAUUGCUGCACAGAAAAAUUACGUCCUGGAAGCACCGCUGGGUGCCAGGCCUGCUGCUGGAGCAACACCAGAUGUUAUGAACGUCUGGCAGAGCAAAGCUGAUGACUACUCGAUAGUUCAGUGUGCCAUGCUUUACGGCUUAGAAUCGGGACUUCAAACGACGUUUUGAACGUCAUGGAGCAUAUGAGAUGUUCCAGGAGUUGAAGUUAAUAUUUCAAGCAAAUACCCGAAUUGAGAGAUAUGAAGUCUCCAAUAAGUUCUAUAGCUGCAAGAUGGAGGAGAACAGUUCUGUCAGUGAGCAUAUACUCAAAAUGUCUGGGUAUAAUAAUCACUUGAUUCAAUUGGGAGUUAAUCUUCCGGAUGAUUGCGUUAUUGACAGAAUUCUCCAAUCACUGCCACCAAGCUACAAGAGCUUCGUGAUGAACUAUAAUAUGCAAGGGAUGAACAAGACUAUUCCCGAGCUCUUCGCAAUGCUGAAAGCUGCGGAGGUAGAAAUCAAGAAGGAGCAUCAAGUGUUGAUGGUUAACAAGACCACUAGUUUCAAGAAAAAGGGCAAAGGGAAGAAAAAGGGGAACUUCAAGAAGAACGGCAAGCAAGUUGCUGCUCAAGAGAAGAAACCCAAGUCUAGACCUAAGCCUGAAACUGAGUGCUUCUACUGCAAGCAGACUGGUCACUGGAAGCGGAACUGCCCCAAGUAUUUGGCGGAUAAAAAGGAUGGCAAGGUGAACAAAGGUAUAUGUGAUAUACAUGUUAUUGAUGUGUACCUUACUAGAGCUCGCAGUAGCACCUGGGUAUUUGAUACUGGUUCUGUUGCUAAUAUUUGCAACUCGAAACAGGGACUACGGAAUAAGCGGGCACUGGCAAAGGACGAGGUGACGAUGCGCGUGGGAAAUGGUUCCAAAGUUGAUGUGAUCGCGGUCGGCACGCUACCUCUACAUCUACCUUCGGGAUUAAUAUUAGACCUAAAUAAUUGUUAUUUGGUGCCAGCGUUGAGCAUGAACAUUAUAUCUGGAUCUUGUUUAAUGCGAGGCGGUUAUUCAUUUAAAUCAGAGAAUAAUGGUUGUUCUAUUUAUAUGAGUAAUAUCUUUUAUGGUCAUGCACCCUUGAAGAGUGGUCUAUUCUUAUUGAAUCUCGAUAGUAGUAAUACACAUAUUCAUAAUGUUGAAGCCAAAAGAUGUAGAGUUGAUAAUGAAAGUGCAACUUAUUUGUGGCACUGUCGUUUAGGUCAUAUCGGUAUAAAGCGCAUGAAGAAACUCCAUACUGAUGGACUUUUGGAACCACUUGAUUAUGAUUCACUUGGUACUUGCGAACCGUGCCUCAUGGGCAAGAUGACUAAAACACCGUUCUCCGGUACUAUGGAGAGAGCAACAGAUUUGUUGGAAAUCAUACAUACCGAUGUAUGUGGCCCGAUGAAUAUUGAGGCUCGUGGCGGAUAUCGUUAUUUUCUCACCUUCACGGAUGAUUUAAGCAGAUAUGGGUAUAUCUACUUAAUGAAACAUAAGUCAGAAACAUUUGAAAAGUUCAAAGAAUUUCAGAGUGAAGUUGAAAAUCAUCGUAACAAGAAAAUAAAGUUUCUACGAUCUGAUCGUGGAGGAGAAUAUUUGAGUUACGAGUUUGGUGUACAUUUGAAAAACUGUGGAAUAGUUUUGCAACUCACGCCACCCGGAACACCACAGCGUAAUGGUGUGUCCGAACGUCGUAAUCGUACUUUACUAGAUAUGGUGCGAUCUAUGAUGUCUCUUACUGAUUUACCGCUAUCAUUUUGGGGAUAUGCUUUAGAGACGACCGCAUUCACGUUAAAUAGGGCACCAUCAAAAUCCGUUGAGACGACGCCUUAUGAACUGUGGUUUGGCAAGAAACCAAAGUUGUCGUUUCUUGAAGUUUGGGGCUGCGAUGCUUAUGUGAAAAAACUUCAACCUGAUAAGCUCGAACCCAAAUCGGAGAAAUGUGUCUUCAUAGGAUACCCAAAGGAGACUAUUGGGUACACCUUCUAUCACAGAUCCGAAGGCAAGACAUUCGUUGCUAAGAAUGGAUCCUUUCUAGAGAAGGAGUUUCUCUCGAAAGAAGUGAGUGGGAGGAAAGUAGAACUUGACGAGGUAACUGUACCUGCUCCCUUACUGGAGAGUAGUUCAUCACAGAAAACUGUUUCAGUGACACCUACACCAGUUAGUGAAGAAGCCAAUGAUAAUGAUCAUGAAACUUCAGAUCAAGAUACUGCUGAACCUCGUAGAUCAACCAGAGUAAGAUCCGCACCAGAGUGGUACGGUAAUCCUGUUCUGGAGGUCAUGCUACUAGAUCAUGAUGAACCUACGAACUAUGAAGAAGCGAUGGUGAGCCCAGAUUCCGCAAAGUGGCUUGAAGCCAUGAAAUCUGAGAUGGGAUCCAUGUAUGAGAACAAAGUAUGGACUUUGGUUGACUUUCCCGAUGAUCGGCAAGCAAUUGAGAAUAAAUGGAUCUUUAAGAAGAAGACUGACGCUGAUGGUAAUGUUACUGUCUACAAAGCUCGACUUGUCGCAAAAGGUUUUCGGCAAGUUCAAGGGAUUGACUACGAUGAGACCUUCUCACCCGUAGCGAUGCUUAAGUCCGUCCGAAUCAUGUUAGCAAUUGCCGCAUUUUAUGAUUAUGAAAUUUGGCAGAUGGAUGUCAAAACUGCAUUCCUGAAUGGAUUUCUGGAAGAAGAGUUGUAUAUGAUGCAACCAGAAGGUUUUGUCGAUCCAAAGGGAGCUAACAAAGUGUGCAAGCUCCAGCGAUCCAUUUAUGGACUGGUGCAAGCUUCUCGGAGUUGGAAUAAACGUUUUGAUAGUGUGAUCAAAGCAUUUGGUUUUAUACAGACUUUCGGAGAAGCCUGUAUUUACAAGAAAGUGAGUGGGAGCUCUGUAGCAUUUCUGAUAUUAUAUGUGGAUGACAUAUUGCUGAUUGGAAAUGAUAUAGAAUUUCUGGAUAGCAUAAAGGGAUACUUGAAUAAAAGUUUUUCAAUGAAAGACCUCGGUGAAGCUGCUUACAUAUUAGGCAUUAAGAUCUAUAGAGAUAGAUCAAGACGCUUAAUUGGACUUUCACAAAGCACAUACCUUGACAAGAUUUUGAAGAAAUUCAAAAUGGAUCAAGCAAAGAAAGGAUUCUUGCCUAUAUUACAAGGUGUGAAGUUGAGUAAGACUCAAUGCCCGACCACUGCAGAAGAUAGAGAGAAUAUGAAAGAUGUUCCCUAUGCAUCAGCCAUAGGCUCUAUCAUGUAUGCAAUGCUGUGUACCAGACCUGAUGUGUGCCUUGCUAUAAGUUUAGCAGGGAGGUACCAAAGUAAUCCAGGAGUGGAUCACUGGACAGCGGUCAAGAACAUCCUGAAAUACCUGAAAAGGAAUAAGGAUAUGUUUCUCGUAUAUGGAGGUGACAAAGAGCUCACCGUAAAAGGUUACGUUGAUGCAAGCUUUGACACUGAUCCGGACGAUUCUAAAUCGCAAACCGGAUACGUGUUUACAUUAAACGGUGGAGCUGUCAGUUGGUGCAGUUCUAAACAAAGCGUCGUAGCGGGAUCUACAUGUGAAGCGGAAUACAUAGCCGCUUCGGAAGCAGCAAAUGAAGGAGUCUGGAUGAAGGAGUUCAUAUCCGAUCUAGGUGUCAUACCUAGUGCAUCGGGUCCAAUGAAAAUCUUUUGUGACAAUACUGGUGCAAUUGCCUUGGCAAAGGAAUCCAGAUUUCACAAAAGGACCAAACACAUCAAGAGACGCUUCAACUCCAUCCGGGAUCUAGUCCAGGUGGGAGACAUAGAGAUUUGCAAGAUACAUACGGAUCUGAAUGUUGCAGACCCAUUGACUAAGCCUCUUCCACGAGCAAAACAUGAUCAGCACCAAGGCUCCAUGGGUGUUAGAAUCAUUACAGUGUAAUCUAGAUUAUUGACUCUAGUGCAAGCGGGAGACUGAAGGAAAUAUGCCCUAGAGGCAAUAAUAAAGUUAUUAUUUAUUUCCUUAUAAUCAUGAUAAAUGUUUAUUAUUCAUGCUAGAAUUGUAUUUACCGGAAACAUAAUACAUGUGUGAAUACAUAGACAAACAAAGUGUCACUAGUAUGCCUCUACUUGACUAGCUCGUUAAUCAAAGAUGGUUAUGUUUCCUAAACCAUGAACAAUGAGUUGUUAUUUGAUUAACGAGGUCACAUCAUUAGCAGAAUGAUCUGAUUGACAUGACCCAUUCCAUUAGCUUAGCACCCGAUCGUUUAGUAUGUUGCUAUUGCUUUCUUCAUGACUUAUACAUGUUCCUAUGACUAUGAGAUUAUGCAACUCCCGUUUACCGGAGGAACACUUUGGGUACUACCAAACGUCACAACGUAACUGGGUGAUUAUAAAGGAGUACUACAGGUGUCUCCAAUGGUCGAUGUUGGGUUGGCGUAUUUCGAGAUUAGGAUUUGUCACUCCGAUUGUCGGAGAGGUAUCUCUGGGCCCUCUCGGUAAUACACAUCACAUAAGCCUUGCAAGCAUUACAACUAAUAUGUUAGUUGUGAAAUGAUGUAUUACGGAACGAGUAAAGAGACUUGCCGGUAACGAGAUUGAACUAGGUAUUGGAUACCAACGAUCGAAUCUCGGGCAAGUAACAUACCGAUGACAAAGGGAACAACGUAUGUUGUUAUGCGGUCUGACCGAUAAAGAUCUUCGUAGAAUAUGUAGGAGCCAAUAUGGGCAUCCAGGUCCCGCUAUUGGUUAUUGACCAGAGACGUGUCUCGGUCAUGUCUACAUUGUUCUCGAACCCGUAGGGUCCGCACGCUUAAGGUUACGAUGACAGUUAUAUUAUGAGUUUAUGCAUUUUGAUGUACCGAAGGUUGUUCGGAGUCCCGGAUGUGAUCACGGACAUGACGAGGAGUCUCGAAAUGGUCGAGACGUAAAGAUUGAUAUAUUGGAAGCCUAUAUUUGGAUAUCGGAAGUGUUCCAGGCGAAAUCGGGAUUUUACCGGAAUACCGGAAGGGUUACCGGAACCCCCCGGGAGCUAUUUGGGCCAUAGUGGGCCUUAGUGGAAAAGAGAAGGGGCUGCCCUAGAUGGGCUGCGCGCCCCCCCUUCCCCUAGUCCUAUUAGGACUAGGAGAGGUGGCCGGCCCCCUCCUCCUCUUUUCCCCUCCGAGGAAUCCUAGUUGGACUAGGAUUGGAGGGGGAAUCCUACUCCCAGAGGGAGUAGGACUCUCCUGUGCCUCCCCCCCUUGGCCGGCCAGCCUCCCCUCCUCUCCUCCUUUAUAUACGGAGGCAGGGGCACCUCUAAACACACAAGUUGACACAAGUUGAUCCACGUGAUCUAUUCCUUAGCCGUGUGCGGUGCCCCCUGCCACCAUAUUCCUCGAUAAUACUUUAGCGGAGUUUAGGCGAAGCCCUGCUGCUGUAGUUCAUCAAGAUCGUCACCACGCCGUCGUGCUGACGAAACUCUUCCCCGACACUUUGCUAGAUCGGAGUCCAGGGAUCGUCAUCGAGCUGAACGUGUGCUCGAACUCGGAGGUGCCGUAGUUUCGGUACUUGAUCGGUUGGAUCGAGAAGACGUACGACUACUUCCUCUACGUCGUGUCAUCGCUUCCGCAGUCGGUCUGCGUUGGGUACGUAGACAAUACUCUCCCCUCGUUGCUAUGCAUCACAUGAUCCUGUGUGUGCGUAGGAAAUUUUUUGAAAUUACUAUGAAACCCAACAUCUUCUUCAACCUUGCCAUUGAGAAAAGCGCUCUUCACAUCCAUUUGAUAUAGAAGUAUGUUAUGAUGAUUUGCAUAGGCCAACAGUAUGCGUAUGGCUUCAAGUCGAGCCACAGGAGCAAAUGUUUCAUCGAAGUCAAUUCCUUCCACUUGAGUAUAUCCUUGAGCAACAAGACGAGCUUUGUUUCUGACAACUUGACCAUGCUCAUCUUGCUUGUUGCGGUAUAUCCAUUUGGUGCCUAUUAUAUUGUGUUUCCGAGGAUCAGGAUGCUUAACAAGUUUCCAUACAUUAUUCAGCUCAAACUGUUGAAGCUCUUCUUGCAUGGCUUGAAUCCAUUCAGGUUCCAUGAAGGCGUCUUCAACUUUCUUGGGUUCUGUUAUUGAGACGAAUGCGAAGUGCCCACAGAAAUUUGCUAGUUGUGUUGCCCUUGAACGAGUGAGCGGACUGGGUGCAUUGAUGCUAUCAAUUAUUCUCUCAAUCUGCACUUCAUUAGCAACACGAGGAUGUACAGGGCGAAGAUUUUGCUCUUGUUGAUCAUUGUCAUUGUCAUUGUUAGAGGGAUUGUCUUCAGGCUGAGCAUUGUCUUCAGUUUGAUCAGGUGCGGAGAUGAUAAGUUCCUCUUCAGGUUGAGCUUCAGAGGGUAUGAUUUCUCUAGUUCCCAUUAGUUUGAUUGAUUCACUGGAUGGAGCUUCAUCUAGCACAUUUGGCAGGUGCUCUCUUUGUGAACCGUUAGUCUCAUCGAACCGCACAUCCACUGUUUCAACCACUUCAUAAUGAAAGAGAUUGAAGACUCUGUAGGAGUGCGAAUCCUUUCCAUAUCUAAGCAUAACACCCUCAUGUGCUUUUGGUGCAAAUUUUGAAGUGUGAUGUGGAUCCUUGAUCCAGCACCUGACGCCAAAUACUCUGAAGUAACUGACAUUUGGCUUCUUGCCAGUAAGGAGCUCAUAAGAUGUCUUGUUCAGAAUCUUGUGAAGAUAAACACGAUUGAUUGUAUGGCAUGCAGUAUCAAUGGCUUCAGGACAGAAUUUUCUUGGAGUCUUGUAUUCAUCAAGCAUCGUUCGGGCCAUCUCAAUGAGUGUUCUGUUCUUGCGUUCGACGACACCAUUCUGCUGUGGCGUGUACGGAGCUGAGAAUUCAUGUGUGAUGCCCAAAGUAUCAAGAUAUGUAUCAAGGCCAGUGUUCUUGAAUUCAGUGCCAUUGUCACUUCUGAUGUGCUUUAUCUUGGCGCCAUAGUUGUUCAUUGCUCGAUUGGCGAAGCGUCUGAAGACAUCCUGCACCUCAGUCUUGUAGAUGAUUAUGUGCACCCAAGUAUAUCUAGAAUAAUCAUCAACAAUGACAAAGCCAUAGAGACAAGCAGUAGUAGUAAGAGUUGAGUAAUGAGUGGGACCGAAAAGAUCCAUGUGAAGCAGUUUGAAGGGUCGAGUUGUUGUCAUGAUUGUCUUCGAGGGAUGUUUGGCCCUCGUCAUCUUUCCUGCUUCACAGGCACCGCAUAAGUGAUCUUUCUUGAACUUGACGCCCUCAAUGCCUAUGACAUGCUUCUUCUUUGCAAGGGUGUGGAGGUUCUUCAUGCCAGCAUGCCCUAGCCUCCGAUGCCAGAGCCAACAUUCUGAAGCUUUUGCUAGAAGACAUACGGCAAGCUGUGGUCCUGCUGAGAAAUCUACCACGUACAAAUCAUCUUUCCGAUACCUUUCAAACACUAGAGACUUGUCAGAUUCCAUUAAAACAAGGCAACGAUAUUUUCCAAACAUUACGAUCAUGUUCAAAUCGCAAAGCAUUGAGACAGACAUUAAGUUGAAGCCAAGGGAUUCAACAAGCAUGACUUUAUCCAUGUGUUGAUCCUUUGAGAUUGCAACUCUACCUAGACCCAAUACUUUACUUUUACCAGUGUCAGCAAAUGUGAUGUGACUCUUGUCGGAUGGACGUAAGGUUGAGUCCAUAAGAAGGCUUCUUUUGCCAGUCAUGUGAUUGGUGCACCCACUAUCAAUAAUCCAUUUUGACGACGCUGGUGUCGUACCCUACAGUGCAGUUAGGGGGAUAGGCUUCACGAAGAGAAUUGUGAAGCAAAAACAUUUGAUGAACCAGUGGGUUAUGAAAGCUUAGAUCCAGAUUAGGACUGAUAGGGGGAGUAGCAAGCGAUUCAGGAACGAAGUACAUAAUAAGACCAUUCGGGCAUUUGAUCUUGCACCCUACAAGAUGUUUAAGGUCCCCAGCAAUAGCGUUAGACGAUUUUGGUUUUCUGCUGGAGACCCUUCCCUGCAAAAGAGAGUUAAGCUUUCUUAGCCACCCACAUUUUCAAGGGUGGCUUAGAAGCAAUAAGUCUAAGUGCAGCAUCUGAGAACUUUGGCUUUGGAGCCCUAGCAAAAAGUCUUGCAGGCGGACAAUAGUACUCAUAAAAAUAAGCAGAAUAGUUCUUGGUCUUAUGAACAUGGCGGUUUGAUGAACCGCGCUCAUAUUUAUAGGCCUAAGUAUGGUUUCCCUGCAAAACAUUUGCGUUAGUGCGACUCAGGUGAGUCCUCUAUCUGUAUGAAGCCUUUGGACCGUAUGAAGCCUGUGGUCUGGGGUUUGUCUUCUUCACCUGUGGUGUCAUGAUGACAUUCACAGGAAGAUUCUCCAAACACUUUUUCGGCACCCAGAUCUUCUUCAUAGGCGGUCCAUUCCUGCAGUUAGUACCAAUGUACCUGGCAAACACUUCACCAUUCUGAUUCUUAAACAGUUUAUAGUUUGCAUCAAAGGAUUCAUCAAUGACAAUGGGGUUAGCACAAGUGAAGCCAGAUAGAGUGAAUGGAUCUGCUGAAGGUUCCUUUGCAGCAACCCAUGUGGUUUUGGGGUACUGCUCAGGUUUCCAGUAAGAGCCAUCAGCAUUCAUUUUCCUUACGAACCCAACACCCUCUUCCUCGGAUUUCGGUUCAGGAUCUGCCUUUUGAGGACAUCACAUAGUGUCUGAUGUCCUUUAAGACUUUUGUACAUCCCUGUUUCAAGCAAUGUCUUCAACCUAACAUUCUCAUCAGCAAUAGUAGUGGUAUCCUCAGCAGAGGGGUUAGUUCCCACAUCAACAGUUGAAGAUAUUGCAACAGUAGCAGCAGUAGAACAUUCAGCAACAGAAGUAGCAUUAUCACGCUCAAUGCAUUUAAGACAUGGUGGUUCAAAUCCUUCCUGAGUUGAACUGAUCUGUUUGGCGCGAAGCGACUCGUUUUCUUUCUGAAGAUCUUCAUGAGCCGCUCUUAAUUUCUCAUGAUCUUGCUUCCUUUGAAGAUAACAUUAGGAAAGCCUUUCAUGAGCUGUUGAGAGCGUUUCAUGACAACUUUCAAGUUCCUCAUACUUAACGUGAAGAUUUUUUAUGUCUUCAAUUAAGGACUGAGAUCGAGUCAUUUCAGCGUCUAACAGAUCAUCGCUUUUGUCUAACAGUUUUUGAAUGUGUUCCAUGGUUUUCUGUUGUUCAGUUGCAAUUUUAGCGAGUGUUUUGUAGCUGGGUUUGGAACCACAGUCAGAGUCAUCGUCACUAGAUGUUUGAUAGUGAGUAGUGCGUGUGUUUACCUUGGCACCGCAUGCCAUGAAGCAGUAGGUAGGAGCGGAGUAGUCCUUGUCAUUUGCAUCGGUGUCGGUGAUGGAGUCAUUGUCUUCAGUGUUGAAGAUGGACUUGGCAACGUAUGCUAUAGCCAAACUCGCAACGCCAGAAUCGGACUCCUUCUCAGACUCCACCUCCGCCUCCUCAGAAGCGGACUCCUCCUCUGAAUCCAUUUCCUUGCCAACAAACGCACGUGCCUUGCCAGAUGAGCUCUUCUUAUGUGAUGAAGACUUGGAGGAAGACUUGGAAGAAUACUUUGAGUAUUUCUUCUUCUUCUUGUCAUCAGAAUCAUACUCCUUGCUCUUCUUUUUCUUCUUGUUCUCAAUGUCCCACUGCGGACACUCAGAGAUGUAGUGGCCAGGUUUCUUGCACUUGUGACAUGUUUUCUUCUUGUAGUCAUGAGCAGAAGCUUCAUCAUUCCUUGAGCUUGAUUGUGAAGACUUUCUGAAGCCUUUCUUCUUGGUGAAUUUUUGGAACUUCUUCACAAGCAUAGCAAGUUCCUUUCCAAUGUCUUCAGGACCAUUAGAACUGCUGUCAGAUUCUUCUUCAGAUGAGGAGACAGUUUUUGCCUUCAAGGCACGAGUUCGCCCAUAGUUGGGACCGUAGAUAUCUCUUUUCUCAGAAAACUGAAACUCAUGUGUGUUGAGCCUCUCAAGUAUGUCAGACGGAUCGAGUGUCUUGAAAUCAGGACGUUCUUGAAUCAUCAGGGCUAGGGUGUCAAACGAACUGUCAAGUGAUCUCAGUAGUGUCUUGACGACUUCAUGCUUGGUGAUCUUAGUAGCGCCAAGGGCUUGAAGCUCAUUUGUGAUGUCAGUGAGUCGAUCAAACGUGAGCUGGACAUUCUCAUUGUCAUUUCUCUUGAAGCGGUUGAAGAGGUUGCGAAGGACACUGAUUCUCUGAUCUCUCUGGGUUGAGACGCCUUCGUUGACCUUGGAGAGCCAGUCCCAGACUAGCUUAGAUGUUUCCAAAGCACUCACACGGCCAUACUGUCCUUUGGUCAGAUGACCACAGAUGAUAUUCUUGGUAGUAGAGUCCAGUUGAAUGAACUUCUUGACAUCAGCAGCAGUGACACCUUCUCCAGCCUUGGGAACGCCGUUCUUGAUGACAUACCAUAGGUCGACAUCAAUGGCUUCAAGAUGCAUGCGCAUCUUAUUCUUCCAGUAGGGAUAUUCAGGUCCAUCGAAGACGGGGCAUGCAACGGAGACUUUAAUUAUCCCUGCAGUCGACAUAGCUAAAACUCCAGGUGGUUAAACCGAAUCACACAGAACAAGGGAGUACCUUGCUCUGAUACCAAUUGAAAGUGCAUUAUAUCGACUAGAGGGGGGGGUGAAUAGGCGAUUUUUAUGAAAGUCUUCAAAACGUGAAAGUUUCGAAGACAAACAAUAGAGAUAAACCUAUUACCAUGCAGCGGAAGGUAGACUACACUAGGCAAACCAUAGUCAAGUAGUCAAUGAAGUGAAAGCACAAUGACUAAUAGCAGCUAGGUAGUAAGGAUCAGGUAGGAAGAUAUUAUGAAGCCAAACAGAACACACAGUCACUCAAUAAAGACAAAAGAUAGUGCAAUCAUACAAUGACUUCACCAGGACCAACAGUAAGUAAAGGGAAGGGAAGGAUGAAACCAGUGACUCGUUCAAGACAAUGAUUUGUUAGACCAGUUCCAGUUGUUGUGACAACUGUACGUCUGGUUAGGGCGGCUAGGUAUUUAAACCUGAGGACACACAGUCCCGGACACACAGUCCUGAACACGCAGCUCAGGACACUCAGUCCUCAUCGUAUUUCCCUUGAGCUAAGGUCACACAUACCUCGCCCAAUCACUCUGGUAAGUCUUCAAGGUAGACUCCCAAACCUUCACAGACUUCGUUCACCAGCGAUCCACAAUGUCUCUUGGAUGCUCAGAACGCGACGCCUAACCGGCUGGAGUAUUCACAGUCCUCAAGUGUAAUAAGUCUUCAGAUCACACAGACAAAAAGACUUAAGUGAUGCCUAACACUCUUUGGCUCUUGGUGGUUAGGGAUUUAUCCUCGCAAGGAUUUCUUUCUCAAAGGCUUCGAGGUGGGUUGCUCUCAAAUGACAAAAGCCGUACUCUAACUCUGAGCAGCCAACCGUUUAUGGUUGUAGGGGAUGGGCUAUUUAUAGCCACUAGGCAACCCGACCUGAUUUGUCCGAAAUGACUCUGGGUCACUAAGGAACUGACACGUGUUCCAACGGUCAGAUUUCAAACACACACGGCAACUUUACUUGGGCUACAAGCAAAGCUGACUUGUCCGACUCUGGACAAGAUUCGCUCUCAUAGUCUUCACUCGAAGACAUAUGUUUUGGUUAAGCAUCACUUCAGUCAUUCUGACGGGUUCUCUUGGACCCCACUUAACAGUACGGUGGUUCCUAUGACUCAACAAAGAAGAAAAAGAACUACUAUAGAUCUAAGUCUUCGAGCUCCAUAGGCUUCAUGCGAUGUCUUCUCUUGUCAUAGUCUUCGAUGAGAAUAUCUUCAUAUACCACCUUUGACAUCAAUGUCUUCAUACAUUUUUAGGGGUCAUCUCUGGUAGGAAAACCGAAUCAAUGAGGAACUUCUACCUGUGUUAUCCUGCAAUUCUCACAAACACAUUAGUCCCUCAACUAGGUUUGUCGUCAAUACUCCAAAACCAACUAGGGGUGGCACUAGAUGCACUUACACUAUGGUAGAUUGGAAAGAUCAUUCAUACUGCAUACUAUUGGGGUUGAUGUCAAGACCAUGCUAGAGACAAGCAUUCUAGGCAAGACAACUCCAAUUAUCCUCACAAGCUGCGCACGCGGUGGCAUGCAGUGGGUUAUGUGGGAGCAAUGAAAAAAUAUUAGCAUUUCCACGGGUGGUUGUUAAAUCCAUCUCAACUGAAGCUCACAUGCUUCUAUGGAUGUCACUAUUAGAAUCGUCUUGAUUAUUUUGUUACACUUCACAAAUAAAAAACACUCGGCAAAGGUCAACCUUUUCCGGGUGUUUCUUACAAAGCACUUGGCAUUUUCUUUUGUUUUAUUUUCUUCAUUUUUUUCUUUUAUUUUCUAUUUUUCAUCUUAUAUUAUUUUUCUUUUCUUCUCUGUUUCUAGACAAUCAAUGGAUAUAGUUCAAUUUGAAGUGCAAGUGCAUGAAAACGUUGGCAACAGCUGCAAACUCCCCAACUCCGUCACCGCUAGCCAGCAGCCGGCUUCUCGUGUAAACUCCUGGAGUGAUCGAUCUGUUCGGGGUGUUAGCUUCUGCCUGCGAGCUGUAUAAAUGGCUGGCCUUGGUUGGUGACUGGCUUUAUUGGGCUGUGGCCUGGAAAAAGGAAUAGUGGGCCGUCUAAAUGCCUAGGCCUGGUCGGUGGCACACCUCAUAUGGCUGUUCGGUCGUGGUUGUUUCUGCGUACCGGUUCGCAGCAAGUCACUUGGCGGUGGCAGCGAAGUGUAAUAUAUGUGAACUCUCGCUUCUCAGUUUUUGUGGAGCUUGAUUUUCUCAACUCCACGAAUCCUCCAAAUUUACACCCGUGGUUAGCCAGCUUCUCGUUCGCAUCGCCGCGAGUUAGACCGUUCGGGUGCACUCCACAGAUGGAGUUGGGGAGUUAAGAAGCCAGAGGGCUACCACACAGGCCCUAAAAUUUGAAUCAAAAGAAGUAUUGAAAUUAAACGUUGAUGCACCAUUCUCCCAUCUACUAUAACUAAGCUCCCUAUGGGUAAAGGCCUCUAAUUCAACAGAUUUGGAUUCCCAAUUUUUAUUUAGUCAACAUAUUUUCAAUGAGGCGGAGAGUAGCUUCCACGCACUUAUUACAUGCAUGCAUGCUAGGAAAGUAUGGGAUGGUCUUCGGAAUAUUUGGCCCCUUCCUGAUGAUGCACUACUCACUGAGUCAGGCAAGGAUUGGCUCUUGCAACUCCUGUCCAAAUGUCCAGAACAUACCAGGGACAUGGUGAUCAUGACCGUUUGACGAAUUUGGCAGCUUCGGAACGAUUUUACACAUGGGAAGAGUGAGACCCCAGUUCAAGUUACUGUUGAUUUUUUGGACAGCUAUUAUAAGUCGCUUAACUUGGCAAGGAAUUUUAGUAUGAAAGAAAUCAUAAAGGGGAAAAUGCCAAUGUUGGAGGAAGGCAAAGCUGUGUACAACAAACGUGUGCUACCUCCUGUACCGUGGUGUCACACCCUAGCUAGUCAUGCAUCAGAGUGUGUGCAUCAUGUUUAAAAUUCCAUUUAAUUUUGAAAUGGGGAAUUGUGAAACCCUCAGAAUCAUUUUUGAAAAUGACCCAAAUAAAAAUUUCUCCAAAAGGGUCCAAGAAAAUGCUCAUGUUGCUCUCUGAAAAUAUUGGACAGAGAUAAAAAUCAAACCAAUAUUUUUAAGAGCUCAUAGGUAUUUAUUUUGGGCAUUUGGAAUUAAUGCAUAAAUAUUUGCAUUGGAAAUAUAUUAGUUAUAUAUAUUAAUAUAUGUCCAAAUAUUAUGCCAAUUAUAAAGGAGCUCUGGAAUAAUAUAUCUAGCUCCUGCAAAAAUUGGCAUAAGGUAAAUAAAUGAUUUAAUAUUUUAUUUAAAUCAAAACAAAUGUCAGAAAUUAGUAAAAGAAAAAUAAAUAAAAGGAGGAGCUUACCUGGGCUCCUCCCUGUGCAGCCCAGCCAGCUGGCCGGCCCAGCCAGCAGGCGGCCCAGCCCGCCUCCCUCCUCUGUCGUCUUCGUCCUCGACAGAGGGAGGGGAGUGUGGCCGGCGCGCGCGCCACCGCGCCACGCCACCUGCUCGCCUGCCAGCCUGCCCUCCCCUCCUCGUCUCGAUGCCCCGGGCGACGCCACGCCCUCCCCCAUGCUCUCUCUCACUCUCCCUCAGUUCUUCCCUCCUCUCCCUCGCUCCCUCUCUCACGGCCGAACACCACCAUCGCCCCCGUUCGCCAUAGCAGCCGUCACCGGCCACCCCUCGCCCCUCCGCUGAGCUCAGGAGCUCCGCCUCGACCCCCUCUUCCUCCCCACCAAGCCAAGCCCCUCCGGAAGCCCUGCAUCGCCGCCCACGUCGCCGUUCCUCUCCUCGGCCACCGGAGAUCAUCGUCGUCGAUUCGCUGCACUCCGGCCGUCCCCGAGCCCGCUAACCAUCCCUGCAGCUCCGCGGUGAGCCACUGACCCGAUUCCCCCUUGCCCCGUCGUCCCUAGCAUCCUGUAGCUGCCGCCCCCUUGAGCUCCGAAGCUCGCCGCCGCCGUGCCUCGUCGCCGUCGUGGCCACAGUCACCGUAGCGCCCAACCGAGCACACCCACGUCCUCACCGCACCGCGUAGAAGCCGUAGGUGCCAACCCCGCAUCUCCGCAGCCGUUGUAGCCUCGACCCCGAGCUCAACCGAGCUCCGGCAGCCGCCACGGUCGUCGCCGUCGUCGGUACCGGCCACCUCACGCACGGCCACCACCACCGUUCGACGCGCGGGAGCAAGGGCUCUCCAACGAGCCCAAGCACGGCCUCGCCCGUGCCCUGUAGCGCGUUUCCGCAUCGCGCCGCCGUCUCGGGCCUCGCCGGCGUCAUGUCGCCGGUGGGUUUGACCCACCUUGACCACGGUAGGACCCCCCCUGUGUCCCUGACAGGUGGGCCCAGCCCUGUUAGCUAAUUAGGAUUAGCACUAACCGAAUUAGUUAAACUAACUACCCCCCUGACACUGACCAGUGGGCCCCAGCGCCACUAAUUCCUAAUUAGGAUUAAUUUAACCCUGUUAAACCCCCCUGUCACUGACGUGUGGCCCCCACACGUCAGGUUUGACCCCAGCCAGCCGCAGUUGACCACUGACGUCAUGCUGACGUCAUGCUGGCGCAAUAUAUAUAUUUCUGGAUUUAAUUAAAUCAGGAAAUUCCAGAAUAUUAUUUAAACUUUAAAAAUUCAUAACUUUUAUUCUGUAACUCCAAAUUGGACAAAUUAUAUAUGAAAAAUGAUCAGAAAAAUCCAAUCUAUCCAUCUGUACUAUUUUCAUGCAUGAUCAAACAAGUUAAAUUGAUGUUUUAAGCAGAACAAGGAAAAGCACUUUAAAAGGCCAUGUUUGAGUUUGAAAUUUGAAUCUUUGAUUCAAAUUUGUUCAAACCCUUUUGGUCUUAGUUGCAUUAGCCCAACACACUCAUAUUGCUAUGUUUCAUGCAUGCAUCAUAUUGUUGCACAUUGUUUGGUGAUGGUUGUGUAUCGGUGUCCUUUGCGACAGGUUCUGCCUCCGAGGAGUACCGUGAUUACCCUAACGAAGAACCGUAUCAGUGCAUCGAACCAUCAGGCAAGCAACCAACCAUUUGAUCAUAUCGAUACAAUCCCAUGUUCUCGCUCCUGCUCUCUUUUACUGCAUUAAGACAACGCGUUUCAAACUGCUGUGUGCUAUGGUAGUUGAACCCAUUUCCUCUGCAUGACCUGUCAUUGCCACAGUAACUAGAUGAAACCCACUAGCAUGUGUAGGAGUUGAUUGAGCCAUAUGUAUGUGUUGUUCCUACCUUGCUAUGCCUGCUAUGCUUAGAGUCGUGUCAGGUCUGGUUCAUCUGGGUGAUGGGCUAGAGUGAAAUGUUUAUGUCGGUAUUGAGAGUGGUGUGGUGAACACGAUUUGGUAAAGGUAUNNNNNNNNNNNNNNNNNNNNNNNNNNNNNNNNNNNNNNNNNNNNNNNNNNNNNNNNNNNNNNNNNNNNNNNNNNNNNNNNNNNNNNNNNNNNNNNNNNNNNNNNNNNNNNNNNNNNNNNNNNNNNNNNNNNNNNNNNNNNNNNNNNNNNNNNNNNNNNNNNNNNNNNNNNNNNNNNNNNNNNNNNNNNNNNNNNNNNNNNNNNNNNNNNNNNNNNNNNNNNNNNNNNNNNNNNNNNNNNNNNNNNNNNNNNNNNNNNNNNNNNNNNNNNNNNNNNNNNNNNNNNNNNNNNNNNNNNNNNNNNNNNNNNNNNNNNNNNNNAGGCCAUGUAGGAGUACAUGGUGGGUUGUUUCAUUGAAGCCGACCUUAAGCACUGAGAUCUGUAUGUGUGAUUUAAGAAUCAGCUAGUACCAUGCAUUGGGCCCGAAACCAAUGGACCCUCUCGGCUUCUUAUUCACCCUAGUUCUCCGUCCAGGAGUUGCAAGUAGUUUCUGGUGUUUGUAGCCUACUGGAGGCCGUGGACAGCGCUGACCGUAGGGGUGGGCUGUGAUGCGGUAGGUACGUGGCNNNNNNNNNNNNNNNNNNNNNNNNNNNNNNNNNNNNNNNNNNNNNNNNNNNNNNNNNNNNNNNNNNNNNNNNNNNNNNNNNNNNNNNNNNNNNNNNNNNNNNNNNNNNNNNNNNNNNNNNNNNNNNNNNNNNNNNNNNNNNNNNNNNNNNNNNNNNNNNNNNNNNNNNNNNNNNNNNNNNNNNNNNNNNNNNNNNNNNNNNNNNNNNNNNNNNNNNNNNNNNNNNNNNNNNNNNNNNNNNNNNNNNNNNNNNNNNNNNNNNNNNNNNNNNNNNNNNNNNNNNNNNNNNNNNNNNNNNNNNNNNNNNNNNNNNNNNNNNNNNNNNNNNNNNNNNNNNNNNNNNNNNNNNNNNNNNNNNNNNNNNNNNNNNNNNNNNNNNNNNNNNNNNNNNNNNNNNNNNNNNNNNNNNNNNNNNNNNNNNNNNNNNNNNNNNNNNNNNNNNNNNNNNNNNNNNNNNNNNNNNNNNNNNNNNNNNNNNNNNNNNNNNNNNNNNNNNNNNNNNNNNNNNNNNNNNNNNNNNNNNNNNNNNNNNNNNNNNNNNNNNNNNNNNNNNNNNNNNNNNNNNNNNNNNNNNNNNNNNNNNNNNNNNNNNNNNNNNNNNNNNNNNNNNNNNNNNNNNNNNNNNNNNNNNNNNNNNNNNNNNNNNNNNNNNNNNNNNNNNNNNNNNNNNNNNNNNNNNNNNNNNNNNNNNNNNNNNNNNNNNNNNNNNNNNNNNNNNNNNNNNNNNNNNNNNNNNNNNNNNNNNNNNNNNNNNNNNNNNNNNNNNNNNNNNNNNNNNNNNNNNNNNNNNNNNNNNNNNNNNNNNNNNNNNNNNNNNNNNNNNNNNNNNNNNNNNNNNNNNNNNNNNNNNNNNNNNNNNNNNNNNNNNNNNNNNNNNNNNNNNNNNNNNNNNNNNNNNNNNNNNNNNNNNNNNNNNNNNNNNNNNNNNNNNNNNNNNNNNNNNNNNNNNNNNNNNNNNNNNNNNNNNNNNNNNNNNNNNNNNNNNNNNNNNNNNNNNNNNNNNNNNNNNNNNNNNNNNNNNNNNNNNNNNNNNNNNNNNNNNNNNNNNNNNNNNNNNNNNNNNNNNNNNNNNNNNNNNNNNNNNNNNNNNNNNNNNNNNNNNNNNNNNNNNNNNNNNNNNNNNNNNNNNNNNNNNNNNNNNNNNNNNNNNNNNNNNNNNNNNNNNNNNNNNNNNNNNNNNNNNNNNNNNNNNNNNNNNNNNNNNNNNNNNNNNNNNNNNNNNNNNNNNNNNNNNNNNNNNNNNNNNNNNNNNNNNNNNNNNNNNNNNNNNNNNNNNNNNNNNNNNNNNNNNNNNNNNNNNNNNNNNNNNNNNNNNNNNNNNNNNNNNNNNNNNNNNNNNNNNNNNNNNNNNNNNNNNNNNNNNNNNNNNNNNNNNNNNNNNNNNNNNNNNNNNNNNNUGAAUGUUGGGUCGUGAGACCCGUACCUUUGUGUAUGUUAUGUAUGGCUCCCUGAGCCUUAAAUAAAGUACUUGUGUCGUAGAGUCAUGUUGUGAUGCUUCGUUGUAUUUGCACAUAUCGAGCAUAUUGUGUGUAUGAUUGAAAUGCUUGGUAUGUGUGGGAUCUGACUAUCUAGUUGUUUAUCUUUAGUAGCCUCUCUUACCGGGAAAUGUCUCCUAGUGUUACCGCUGAGCCAUGGUAGCUUGCUACUGCUCUGGAACACUUAGGCUGGCCGGCAUGUGUCCUUCUUCGUUCCUGUGUCUGUCCCUUCGGGGAAAUGUCACGCUUUGAGUACCGGAGUCCUGUUAGCCCGCUACAGCCCGGUUUACUGGAGUCCUGCUAGCCCAGUGCUACAGCCCGGACCCACUUGCUGAUGACCGACACGUUCGAAGCUGGGUCAUGGAUGCCUGUCCAUGUAAGUCUGUGCCACUUUGGGUUUACGACUAGUCAUGUCAGCCCGGGCUCCUUAUCAUAUGGAUGCUAGCGACACUAUCAUAUACGUGAGCCAAAAGGCGCAAACGGUCCCGGGCAAAGGUAAGGCGACACCCGUGGGGAUACCGUGCGUGAGGCCGCAAAGUGAUAUGAGGUGUUACCGGCUAGAUCAAUGUGACAUCGAGUCGGGGUCCUGACAGCGUUGGCAUCAGAGCCGGACUGCCUGUAGGUUCUCCAAGCCAAACUGGUCGAUGUUGAGUCUAGAAAUUCUUUAGUUAUAUGUAGGGGAAUUGUUUUUGGGUUGGAACGUAAGGCUCUUUUUACUCCUUUAUCUUAUGACAUUCUGAUCUGAGUCAGUCUAUUCUUCCACCGGGGGUUAAGGAAUUAGGAUCUAUUCUCUUUAUCAGGAUCACGUGUUACUAAUCAGUAGUACCUUAUAGGUAUGAUGGAUACAAGCCUAGUUCAGUUCUUCUACCAUAUUAUGUUGCUAGGAUGGUCUCAGAACUUUGAUAUGAUGAUGUGGAGUGUGUAUGUAAUCCUUUGUCAAAUGUCUCAAAAUCCUUCUUGAGCAUUUACAGCUGUUAUGCUGCCGAAAUUUUGCUAGAAAUUCUAAUGCCUUUGCAUUAUGAUUGUGCUUUCAGAUGGCCACUCGCGACCUCAAUCAAGUGGUUCGCCUGACUCGAUGCCUAGAUGUACCCGGCCAUACUGCCAAGUUGGUCAGGGUAAUGACUGAGGCUGGAUACCGCUGGUAUCCUGAGUACACGGUCGAAGAGCAAUUCCGAGACUUUAAUCAAAGCCAGUAUCUCUGCACUGUCAGGAUAUUUCCAUCUUAUCCUGGAUCCACCGAGCCUCUUCACUGCUCCUAUGGACUCGGGGUUACCAUUGAGAUGGCUGUGCAGGACGCCGCCUACUCUAUGAUGACCAUCAUGCGAGUCAGAUCUGGACUAUUUCGGGACUCUGAUUUCCGGUAUAUGCCAGGAUCACUUCCGGGAGCACAAGGGUAUCUCCAGGCUAUCUAUGCUGACCCCACUCAGGAGGAUUCACGGACUCGCACCACUGCUGAGAUGCUCGAGGAUAAGGACCGUGAAAAUCGGGCCUUAAGGUUAGAGCUCUUCAAUACCCGUGCUGACCACUGGGCCACUUUGACUCGGUUCGCACCGGCGGUGCAAGCUGGAUAUUCAGAUAUGCGCGAUCUCUAUCCUGUGAGAUCUGCUCUGCCAGACGUGAUGGGUUGGUGUGAUGUAGGAGGCAUCACCCCACCUCGCGGUCCCCGCAGGCCACCGUCUGUUGGUCCAAGGCCUCAUCCUAGCCCCUAUGGUCCACAAGCUCCGCGAGAUCGUCUGUUUUCGGAUGAUCAUGUUGAGCUUCCAGGCUAUGGAGGUGACUUCUACGAGGACUACUACGGAUCGGUCUGAGUUAGUGGUAGUAUCACUAGUUCGCACUAGCUGUGUCGUCUAUCGUUCCGCGUGACUCGUGGGAUAUGACCUAGUUUGUACUCUUUCCGGAGGUGUAGAAAAAUAAUGUAUAGGAGCUUGGGAUGCCUCCGAUGAGAUGUAAUCCUCUUUUCACCGUAAUAGUACUUUGUUUGGUCUUGUGCUAAACCCUGUAUGGUGUGUAUGACGAUGGAAUAAAAGAAGCAGUUUCUGUAUCUACCAUGUCAUACGGAUGAUCAUCUUGCAUUCCGAGUUAUUCCUUACAUUUUGUAUCCUAUGUUGGAAUUUUAUCAUCCUGACUAAAUCAUUAUCUUGUUUACCUAGGAUGGUCAACACGCGCACUAACCCUGCUCCUCAAGAGCAGGCCGAAGGCAGUGAAGUCAGGGAUGCAAAUCUGCCUCAUCCUCCUUCCCUAGCCGAGGUUAUGAUGGAAGCUGAGAGAAACAAGCGGGAGACCAACCGUUUGUUGGAGCGUAUUGAACAGAACACGGCACACCAUCAGAGGACUAACGUGGUGUCACUCAGUGAUUUUAUCAAAUUACAUCCACCCACGUUCCACCACUCCGUCGAGCCUCUCGACGCUGAUGACUGGCUUCGCAGUAUCUCUCACAAACUGCGUUCCGUGCUGGUAGCGGAGGCUGACAAGGUCACCUUUGCUGCAUAUCAUCUUGAAGGCCCCGCCAGUCUAUGGUGGGAGAAUUAUGGAGCUAUGCGCCCAGCGGGCCAUGUCACUACUUGGGCUGAAUUCAGCGAGGCUUUCCGUGAACAUCACAUUCCGGAGGGUCUCAUGGACCGUAAACGUGAGGAAUUUUGCAAUUUCACCCAAGGCCGACUCUCUGUGGAUGCUUACAGCAGGGAGUUUGGUAAUCUCGCACGAUAUGCAACCGAGGAAGUGUCUACUGAUGCCAAGAAGCAAGCAAGGUUCCGUAAGGGCCUUAGUCCUGAGCUUCGCCGCGACCUCCGUCUGCAUGAGUGCACAUCUUUUCAGAAACUUGUCAACAAAGCCAUCAGUGCUGAAACUGGUCAGACUGACUAUGACGCAACACGCAAGCAUGGCCGUGACAUGGGUUCCCCAUCCGGUGCUGGUCCUCAGAAGCGCCGCGUGUGGGUACCCAACACCGCCCUGCCACCCAGGUUCACACCGAUGCCAUCUUUCCAGGCGCCUCGCCCUGUUCAACAGUCUGCACCGGCCAAGCCCUAUGGGGGUCCAACCAACAAUGCUCCUCCACGUACCAGUUCCGUGACUUGUUUCAAGUGUGGGGAAUCUGGUCACUAUAUGCGUGAGUGUCCCCAGACCAACCCCAACCAGUCUGCUAAAGCUGUUGGCCGUGGCAAGCCGACAGGAAAAAUAUUCCACGCCAAGCCGGUCACCGCUUCACGUGGCCAUGUCAACUGUAUCUCUGCCGAAGAAGCUCAAGAGGAUCCCAACGUCGUUCUCGGUACGCUUCUUGUUAAUUGCCACCCGGCAUCUGUUCUUUUCGAUACAGGAGCCUCUCAUUCUUUUAUAUCUGAAAAUUAUGCUCGUUUGCAUAACGUCGCAUUCGGUGAUAUGCCAACCUCUAUGGUAAUUCAAACUCCGGGAUCCAAAUGGCAAACUUCUAGAGUAAGCCAUGGAAAUGAAAUCCAAGUCGACAGACUUGUUUUCCUUGCAUCUUUGAUAGCCCUUAAAUCUUCAGAUAUUAAUAUCAUUCUGGGUAUGGACUGGAUGUCAGCUCAUCAUGCCCAAAUUGAUUGCUUCUCUAGGACUGUUCAACUCACCCAUCCUUCGGGGAAGAUAGUCAAUGUCUUGACCCGAAUAGCCAAGCGACAAUUAUAUUCUCUUAACGCCAGCCCUUUGCCAGACCUUGAGGACAUUCCGGUAGCCCGUGACUUCCCAGAUGUCUUUCCAGAGGAAUUGCCAGGUGUUCCACCUGACAGGGAUGUUGAGUUCGUAAUAGACCUCAUUCCAGGAACCGUUCCGAUUGCUAGAAGACCCUAUAAGAUGGCACCCCUAGAGCUAGCCGAGCUUAAGAAACAACUCGAUGAGUCCUUGAAAAAGGGUUUCAUCCGCCCUAGUUCAUCUCCGUGGGCUUGCCCCGUCCUAUUCGUCAAGAAGAAGGAUGGUACGGACCGGAUGGUUGUAGAUUACCGACCUGUCAAUUUGGUCACAAUCAAGAACAAAUAUCCGCUUCCCAGGAUCAACGACCUGUAUGAUCAGCUCGCUGGAUCCUCAGUCUUCUCCAAGAUGGAUUUGAGGUUGGGCUACCAUCAAAUCAAAAUCAGAAACGGGGACAUUCCUAAAACGGCCUUUGUUACUCGUUAUGGCCAAUACGAGUACACCGUCAUGUCCUUCGGUUUAACCAACGCUCCAGCCACCUUUUCUCGGUUAAUGAACUCAAUCUUCAUGGAGUAUUUGGAUAAGUUCAUCGUUGUUUACCUCGAUGAUAUACUCAUCUACUCCAAGAACGAGGAAGAACAUGCCGAACAUCUAAGGCUAGUGUUGCAGAAACUUCGAGAGCAUCGCCUUUAUGCCAAAUUUUCUAAAUGUGAAUUUUGGUUGUCAGAAGUGACCUAUCUGGGUCAUGUAAUAUCUGGUAAAGGUAUUGCUGUUAACCCUGAGCGAGUUCAAGCCGUCCUUAAUUGGACUCCACCUGAAUCGGUCAAGCAAGUUCGGAGUUUUCUAGGCUUAGCGAGCUAUUGUCGUCGCUUUGUCGAGAACUUCUCCAAGGUUGCUAAACCUCUAACCGAACUCCUCAAGAAAGAUAAGAAGUUCGAAUGGACUCCACAGUGUGAGCACAGCUUUCAGGAACUGAAAAGACGCCUGACCUCUGCUCCCGUACUGGUACCGCCAGACUUCUCCAAGGACUUUGUUAUCUACUGCGACGCCUCGCGACAAGGACUAGGUUGCAUUCUCAUGCAAGAUCGACACGUAAUUGCCUACGCUUCACGGCAAUUGCACCCACAUGAGGAGAAUUAUCCUACUCAUGAUCUAGAGCUUGCAGCCGUAGUCUAUGCACUUAAGACCUGGCGGCAUUACCUCCUCGGUAAUCGUUGCGAAAUAUUCACUGAUCACCAAAGUCUGAAGUACAUUUUCACCCAACCGGAUCUGAAUCUCAGGCAAAGACGUUGGGUUGAAUUGAUCACAGACUUCGACUUAGGAAUAACCUACACCCCAGGGAAAGCCAACGUCAUGGCUGAUGCGCUAAGUCGUAAAUCUUAUUGUAACAAUCUGAUGUUACAACAAAGUCAACUGCUUCUCCAUGAGGAAUUUCGGAAGCUUAACCUUCACAUUGUUCCUCAAGGUUUUCUUUCCACCUUGGUGGCAAAACCUACCCUUACGGAUCAAAUUAUCAAAGCACAGAAGGUAGAUCCGGGAAUCUCCCGCAUCAAGAGAAACAUUCAGAAAGGAAUUGCGAAUUGCUUCUCCAUUAAUGAUCAAGGGGUCGUAUACUUCGGGGAUCGCUAGUGGUUCCCAAAGUGCGCAACCUGAGGCGAUUGAUCCUUAAGGAAGCUCAUGAGUCUCCUCUCACCAUUCAUCCCGGUAGUACUAAGAUGUAUCAGGACCUACGCCAGAGGUUCUGGUGGACUAGGAUGAAGAGAGAAAUUGCUCAGUAUAUUGCUAAUUGCGACGUCUGUCGUCGUGUAAAAGCAGAGCAUCAACGGCCUGCUGGCACCCUUCAACCCUUAGCUAUUCCUGAAUGGAAAUGGGAUAAAAUUGGUAUGGAUUUCAUUACCGGUUUUCCUAGGACCAAGAGAGGGAAUAAUGCUAUUUUCGUCGUGGUCGAUCGUCUUUCCAAAGUAGCCCAUUUCUUACCUGUUCGUGAGGGUAUAACCGCUAGCCAGCUGGCAGACUUAUACAUCUCCCGAAUAGUGUCCCUCCAUGGUGUUCCUUUGGAAAUUAACUCGGAUCGAGGAAGUCUUUUCACCUCUCGAUUUUGGGAAAGUUUCCAAAAUGCUAUGGGAACCCGUCUCUCCUUCAGCACCGCUUUCCACCCUCAGUCGAGUGGUCAAGUGGAACGCGUCAACCAGAUUCUAGAAGACAUGCUUCGAGCCUCUGUUAUCUCAUUCGGAAUGGACUGGGAGAAGUGCCUUCCAUUUGCCGAAUUCGCUUACAACAACAGCUAUCAAUCUAGCUUGGGUAAAGCCCCUUUUGAAGUUCUCUAUGGACGACGGUGUCGAACACCCCUUAACUGGUCAGAAACCGGGGAAAGACAAUUCUUUGGCCCGGAUAUGAUUCAGGAAGCAGAAGAACAAGUUCGUAUCGUCCGUGAAAAGUUGAAAACAGCCCAAUCUCGUCAAAAGAGUCAAUAUGACCGAAAACAUAAGGCUAUGACUUUCGAGGUUGACGAGAAGGCUUAUCUUCGGGUCACCCCUCUGAAGGGAACCCAUCGUUUCGGUAUCAAAGGCAAAUUGGCUCCUCGUUACAUUGGACCUUUUCGCAUUCUCGCCAAACGAGGAGAAGUUGCCUACCAGUUGGAACUACCUCCGCACCUCUCCAGAGUCCACGAUGUCUUCCACGUUUCUCAACUCAGGCGUUGCUUCUCGGAUCCUAUCCGUGAAGUGGACCACGAAACGCUUGAUCUCCAAGAUAAUCUUACAUAUCGAGAGUACCCCAUUCGUAUCCUCGAUCAGGCCGAACGUACCACCCGACGUCAUAAUAUCAAGUUUCUCAAAGUUCAAUGGUCGCACCAUUCUGAGGAUGAAGCAACUUGGGAAAGGGAGGAUCGUCUUCGAUUUGAAUAUCCCGCCUUCUUCCCGGAGGAACCCAAAUCUCGGGACGAGAUUCUUUUAAGUGGGGGUGAGUUGUCACACCCUAGCUAGUCAUGCAUCAGAGUGUGUGCAUCAUGUUUAAAAUUCCAUUUAAUUUUGAAAUGGGGAAUUGUGAAACCCUCAGAAUCAUUUUUGAAAAUGACCCAAAUAAAAAUUUCUCCAAAAGGGUCCAAGAAAAUGCUCAUGUUGCUCUCUGAAAAUAUUGGACAGAGAUAAAAAUCAAACCAAUAUUUUUAAGAGCUCAUAGGUAUUUAUUUUGGGCAUUUGGAAUUAAUGCAUAAAUAUUUGCAUUGGAAAUAUAUUAGUUAUAUAUAUUAAUAUAUGUCCAAAUAUUAUGCCAAUUAUAAAGGAGCUCUGGAAUAAUAUAUCUAGCUCGUGCAAAAAUUGGCAUAAGGUAAAUAAAUGAUUUAAUAUUUUAUUUAAAUCAAAACAAAUGUCAGAAAUUAGUAAAAGAAAAAUAAAUAAAAGGAGGAGCUUACCUGGGCUCCUCCCUGUGCAGCCCAGCCAGCUGGCCGGCCCAGCCAGCAGGCGGCCCAGCCCGCCUCCCUCCUCUGUCGUCUUCGUCCUCGACAGAGGGAGGGGAGUGUGGCCGGCGCGCGCGCGCCACCGCGCCACGCCACCUGCUCGCCUGCCUGCCUGCCCUCCCCUCCUUGUCUCGAUGCCCCGGGCGACGCCACGCCCUCCCCCCUGCUCUCUCUCACUCUCCCUCAGUUCUUCCCUCCUCUCCCUCGCUCCCUCUCUCACGGCCGAACACCACCAUCGCCGCCGUUCGCCAUAGCAGCCGUCACCGGCCACCCCUCGCCCCUCCGCUGAGCUCAGGAGCUCCGCCUCGACCCCCUCUUCCUCCCCACCAAGCCAAGCCCCUCCGGAAGCCCUGCAUCGCCACCCACGUCGUCGUUCCCCUCCUCGGCCACCGGAGAUCAUCGCCGUCGAUUCGCUGCACUCCGGCCGUCCCCGAGCCCGCUAACCAUCCCUGCAGCUCCGCGGUGAGCCACUGACCCGAUUCCCCCUUGCCCCGUCGUCCCUAGCAUCCUGUAGCUGCCGCCCCCUUGAGCUCCGAAGCUCGCCGCCGCCGUGCCUCGUCGCCGUCGUGGCCACAGUCACCGUAGCGCCCAACCGAGCACACGCACGUCCUCACCGCACCGCGUAGAAGCCGUAGGUGCCAACCCCGCAUCUCCGCAGCCGUUGUAGCCUCGACCCCGAGCUCAACCGAGCUCCGACAGCCGCCACGAUCGUCGCCGUCGUCGGUACCGGCCACCUCAGGCACGGCCACCACCACCGUUCGACGCGCGGGAGCAAGGGCUCUCCAACGAGCCCAAGCACGGCCUCGCCCGUGCCCUGUAGCGCGUUUCCGCAUCGCGCCGCCGUCUCGGGCCUCGCCGGCGUCAUGUCGCCGGUGGGUUUGACCCACCUUGACCACGGCAGGACCCCCCCUGUGUCCCUGACAGGUGGGCCCAGCCCUGUUAGCUAAUUAGGAUUAGCACUAACCGAAUUAGUUAAACUAACUACCCCCCUGACACUGACCAGUGGGCCCCAGCGCCACUAAUUCCUAAUUAGGAUUAAUUUAACCCUGUUAAACCCCCCUGUCACUGACGUGUGGCCCCCACACGUCAGGUUUGACCCCAGCCAGCCGCAGUUGACCACUGACGUCAUGCUGACGUCAUGCUGGCGCAAUAUAUAUAUUUCUGGAUUUAAUUAAAUCAGGAAAUUCCAGAAUAUUAUUUAAACUUCAAAAAUUCAUAACUUUUAUUCUGUAACUCCAAAUUGGACAAAUUAUAUAUGAAAAAUGAUCAGAAAAAUCCAAUCUAUCCAUCUGUACUAUUUUCAUGCAUGAUCAAACAAGUUAAAUUGAUGUUUUAAGCAGAACAAGGAAAAGCACUUUAAAAGGCCAUGUUUGAGUUUGAAAUUUGAAUCUUUGAUUCAAAUUUGUUCAAACCCUUCUGGUCUUAGUUGCAUUAGCCCAACACACUCAUAUUGCUAUGUUUCAUGCAUGCAUCAUAUUGUUGCACAUUGUUUGGUGAUGGUUGUGUAUCGGUGUCCUUUGCGACAGGUUCUGCCUCCGAGGAGUACCGUGAUUACCCUAACGAAGAACCGUAUCAGUGCAUCGAACCAUCAGGCAAGCAACCAACCAUUUGAUCAUAUCGAUACAAUCCCAUGUUCUCGCUCCUGCUCUCUUUUACUGCAUUAAGACAACGCGUUUCAAACUGCUGUGUGCUAUGGUAGUUGAACCCAUUUCCUCUGCAUGACCUGUCAUUGCCACAGUAACUAGAUGAAACCCACUAGCAUGUGUAGGAGUUGAUUGAGCCAUAUGUAUGUGUUGUUCCUACCUUGCUAUGCCUGCUAUGCUUAGAGUCGUGUCAGGUCUGGUUCAUCUGGGUGAUGGGCUAGAGUGAAAUGUUUAUGUCGGUAUUGAGAGUGGUGUGGUGAACACGAUUUGGUAAAGGUAUCGAUGAGAGGCCAUGUAGGAGUACAUGGUGGGUUGUUUCAUUGAAGCCGACCUUAAGCACUGAGAUCUGUAUGUGUGAUUUAAGAAUCAGCUAGUACCAUGCAUUGGGCCCGAAACCAAUGGACCCUCUCGGCUUCUUAUUCACCCUAGUUCUCCGUCCAGGAGUUGCAAGUAGUUUCUGGUGUUUGUAGCCUACUGGAGGCCGUGGACAGCGCUGACCGUAGGGGUGGGCUGUGAUGCGGUAGGUACGUGGCACGGUGUACCGAAUACCCGUUAGGUAUCUCGGGAACCCUGUUCACAUCGUUCGGGGCCGUAUGGGAAACCUCGGCCGGACUCCCUGCGGAUGGAACCUGGAUAGGCGAUAAACCUGGACUGGAGGCUUAGGUGAUUAGGUAGGUCGUGGCCGACACCCACGUUGGGCUUCCGCUUGAAGGUUGCCGAGUACAUGUCAUGUAAACGGCGGUAAGUGGUGAGAGCGUGUAUGAAGAAGUACACCCCUGCAGGGUUAACAUGAUCUAUUCGAAUAGCCGCGUCCGCGGUAAAGGACUACUUGGUUGCCUAUACAGUUCAUAGACAAGUAAAUGGAAACUACUAAAAGCCUCAAGAUAAGUGUGAGUGCCGAGGAUGGCUCUUCCGUAGGAAGACGGAGGUGGAUCCUCGGUAGUGUAUUGAAGUGGUGAGUAGUGGACUCGUGUGCGCAAAACCAUUUCAAGUUGGAGUAUCGUAGGAUAGUCUAGCCAAGAGUCAAAGCUGGCUUGCUGCAAUAACUCCACCAACCCUUCUUGAUAAUAUGCAUGUAUGUAGGAUCUGAUGUAAGUCUUGCUGAGUACCUUUGUACUCAUGUUGCUAUAAUCUACAUUUUUACAGAAGACGCUGCAACCCCUUCUGAUGGGUUCUAUGUAGAGGUUGACAUCAACGAGUAGGCUAAAGGCCCAGGUGGUGAUCCUGAGCUUGUGAAGGACCAUGUAGUAUAGCUAGGCUUUCCAAGCCUCUUUUAUUUUACUAGUUGUCUGUACUCAGACAAGUUACUUCCGCUGCUGGUUUGUAUGACUGUAUGACUUGAAUGUUGGGUCGUGAGACCCGUACCUUUGUGUAUGUUAUGUAUGGCUCCCUGAGCCUUAAAUAAAGUACUUGUGUCGUAGAGUCAUGUUGUGAUGCUUCGUUGUAUUUGCACAUAUCGAGCAUAUUGUGUGUAUGAUUGAAAUGCUUGGUAUGUGUGGGAUAUGACUAUCUAGUUGUUUAUCUUUAGUAGCCUCUCUUACCGGGAAAUGUCUCCUAGUGUUACCGCUGAGCCAUGGUAGCUUGCUACUGCUCUGGAACACUUAGGCUGGCCGGCAUGUGUCCUUCUUCGUUCCUGUGUCUGUCCCUUCGGGGAAAUGUCACGCUUUGAGUACCGGAGUCCUGUUAGCCCGCUACAGCCCGGUUUACCGGAGUCCUGCUAGCCCAGUGCUACAGCCCGGACCCACUUGCUGAUGACCGACACGUUCGAAGCUGGGUCAUGGAUGCCUGUCCCUGUAAGUCUGUGCCACUUUGGGUUUACGACUAGUCAUGUCAGCUCGGGCUCCUUAUCAUAUGGAUGCUAGCGACACUAUCAUAUACGUGAGCCAAAAGGCGCAAACGGUCCCGGGCAAAGGUAAGGCGACACCCCUGGGGAUACCGUGCGUGAGGCCGCAAAGUGAUAUGAGGUGUUACCGGCUAGAUCAAUGUGACAUCGAGUCGGGGUCCUGACACGUGGCCACAUCCACCUGCAGGUUGGAGUGCACUCUCUGUUGAUGGCUCGUUCUCGAGCCAUGAUGGGCGCGCAUAUGCAGGAAUGAUUCUGCGGAAUGAGGAUGGUUCUGUGAUCUUUGCAGCAUAUAGGUAUAUCUUUCAUUGCAAUGAUGCCCUUGAAGCGGAAAUUCACGCAAUCAUGCAAGGUCUGGCGUUGGCCAUUGAGCAUUCAGACAAGCCGGUGAUCGUCCAAUCUGAUUCUUCAAAUGCCUUGGCAGUCCUCUCUGGCGAUACUCUUUCGAGAUUUGUUUAUGGUCAUUUAGAUGCAGAGAUUAAAGCUCACUUGGUUGUUAGGGAGUUUGUUCCUUGUAAAAUUGGUAUAGAACAAAAUAGGGUAGCACAUCUUCUGGCGCAUUAUAGCCGUGCCGAGUGUUGCACUGCGUUAUGGUUGAACUCGAGUCCUCCAUGUUGUGAGGAGCAGUUGUCUCGAGAUUGUAACCCUAUAAUUUUAGAAUAAACUCUUUUUCACCCUGCAAAAAAACAUUUUUUCAAUGAGCUCUCUUGUUGAAGUGUGGUGUUCAAUUUUAAAUCCGAUUCAUGAUUUCAACUGGUCAAUGAUUUCUCAACUCAAUCGGUAGCAACUGGUUUAUAAAAAUAUAUCAGUCUCUUCAUCAUCUGGAAAAAUAAUGGCCACAUGCAACACUGUAACACCAAUAUGAUUCAGGACUGAGUUCUAAUUUUUGAGUCGGAUAACAAUUUUUUUCAAGGAGCUCUCUCAUUCAAGUGAGGUAGAGGUGUUCAAUUCUAAAUUUGGUUCACUAUUUCGACCGAUCAAUGAUUUCUCAAAUCAAUCUGUAACAACUAGCAUACAAAAAUACAUCAGUCUCACAGCCUCUCAUCAUCUGACAAAAAAAAUGCUAACAUACAACACUGUAGCACCAAUAUAAUACUUAUGGUCACCACCGCAAGAAAUUUCCAUGCACAUGUGUGGGUUAAUUUGCAUUCUUACAGAAAUACAUCAGUCUCUCACCCUUGUCAUCACCUGAUUAUUUUUACUUGGUCAACUGUUUUUUGAAGAAACUCUCUCAUUCAACAUAGGGUUCAAUUUUAACUUUGAUUCAUGAUUUUUUACUGCUCAAUGAUUUCUCAAAUCAAUUGGCAACAACUGUCUUAUAAAAAUAUAUCAGCCUCGUGCACGCUCUCAUCACCUGACAAAAAAUUAAUGCCAUCAUGUAACACUGGUGGGUCAAUAAUUUCUUAAGGAGCUCUCACAUUCAAUUGAGGUGUUCAAUUCUGAAUCCGGUUCACGAUUUUGACUGGUCAAUGAUUUAGAUGCUUAGGAGAACAAUGGUAUCCCUAACCUACCAGAGUUCAAGUCCUAUGCUUGACACUAGUGCUCGCAUUUUUCUGGAUUUAUUCAGACCUUCCAGCAAUGUGCGUACUAUGGGAGGAGACAUUCCCGUCGACUAUGCAUGCGUAUGUGGCGACUUCUUCAAUCUCAAGAUAAAGUGCUGGCUCAGUUUCUAGAGGUGCUCAUGAGGUAGAGUGUGCAUGUAUAUAGGGGGUGAGUGUACAUGCGUAUGUGUGAGCUUCUGCAUUUGUGUUAAAAAAAUUAAGAGGCGAGCAUUCACCAACUAUGACCAAAUUAUUUUUGUGAGGGAAACCCACUAUGAUCAAAUGAAGAGUGGUCUUUUUUGGUUCUUUCAUUUCUUUAUCACACUAGGUAAAAGUUUAGUAGUAUCUCCAAAUCUUCUGCUAAAAUACAAAAUAUUAAGAAAACGAUUUUCUUUACAACAUGCAUCCAUGUGAUAUACAACACCUCGAAAAUAUUUUGCUACAAAUUUGAAUGUGAAUAGUUUCAAAUGCAUUGAGUUCUAUAUCAACUUCUUUCCGUUGCACACACCCUAGAUUAUUACUCCAUCUUGUUCUUUUUUACUUCGGAUAUAAAAUUUGUCCGAAGUUGAACUCAUAUAGUUAUAUAUAAAAUAUCAACAUAUAACAAAACUGAACUUAUCACCUGUGAAAAAAACUGAAGUUAUAUAAUUAAAAAAUUAAACUCAUGACGCACCUAAUAAUAUUGAUUUUUUAUAUCAACCCAAAUGUUGAUACUCAACCCUAAUAAUAUUGUACAUACUAAUGAUCAAAUGCAAGUCAAGAACAGGAUUGAGUAAUUGACUUGCAUUUGGUCAUUAGUAUGUACAAUAAUAAAUUUGUGAAAAAUACUUUCUAAGGAUAAUUCUUCGUGUGGCACGUUAGCGGUUUUGCUAAAGCACAUCUAGAUGUACCAUAAGUAUUGCACAUCUAAGUCCUAUGUCAUUGAUCUUACAUUGAAAUUCGUGUGGAUAUUUUUUUCUUUUUUUUCUUAUCCUCUUUGUGCUUGAUUCACUCACUUAGAUGUGCAAUAACUAGGGCACAUCUAGAUGUACCCUAGACACACCCAUCUAAUUAUUUUCUGAAAGAUAAAAUCUACGUGCAUGAUUCUUUAUAGGGUGUGUCUAGAGCACAUCUAAAUAUGCUUUAAUUAUUGCACAUCUAAGUGAAUGAAUUAAGCAUAGAGAGAAAGAAAAAAAUGAAAAAUAAAAUAUCUACACUAAGAUGUGCAAUACUUAUAGCAUAUAAGAUCAAUGACAUAGGACUUAGAUGUACAAUACUUAUAGCACAUCUGAUCAAUAACAUAGGACUUGAAUGUGCUUUAGCAAAAUUGUUCUUUAUAUUGAAGUAUCAAAACGAACUAUCCAUGAGUCGGUAUUAUACACGAUUUCAACAAGCCGAUCUGUAUAUUUUUGACAAGACGAAAAGAGAUAACAGUGGAGCCAUUUUUAAAAUCACACGGCAUAACUUCUCCAGCUGCCGACAGCACAGCCUUCACACGAAGUUGGUCAUACCGUGUUGCACGUGCCACAAUCUUCUCAACAUACUCCAUGGUAGGGACAGCUCACCAGCGACCACGAAUAUUUUCUUCAAAUGUUAUCAGUAGCAAGGAAAAUUCAAACUCCGUGGCAGCGACCACGAUGCUGCCGUCCGUGACUCGGCAGGUCGACCAGAAAAAAAACCCGUCCACAAACAGCACCAACGUGUCGACCUCACCAUGAACAGACGGUUGCGUCCGCUUCGCCACCGACGACAGAACACGUAGCCCAUACGGCAACCAAUAUGAAUUUAGGCCGCAAGUCACUCGGUGACACGCAGGGAGCAGGGAUCAGGUGACAUGCACCUUUGCAUGUCAUCGUGUGACUAGCGGCCCAAAUUCAUAUUUAAACAUUGUAAAAAAAUCUGAAAAAAAUCAUGCAUGUUCAUAGCACAUAUUAAGAUAAUCCCUAAAAAAUUCAGAUCAAAAUUCAGAACAUACACCAAGAAGCAAAAAAGAGAAACUCAUAUGUGAAUAGUAUAGAGAACCAUUCGCAACUAUUCAUAACAGAUUUCUCUUUUUUGCUUCUUGAUGUAUGUUUCGAAUUUUGAUCUGAAUUUUUUACGGAUUAUCUUAAUAUGUGCUAUGAACAUGCAUGAUUUUUUUUCAAAUUUUUUACAAUGUUUAAAUAUGAAUUUAGGCCGCAAGGUGACAUGCAAAGGUGCAUGUCACCUGAUCCCUGUCACAACAGCACAACCCAAAUGAAAACAACUCAGAAAAACAGCAAACAAUCACACACGACGACAGCAGUGAUGCUGCCUACAACAAUGGUUCUGAGGUCUGCAUCAUAAACAUACGUUUGCUUCAUCGCAAACCAGAAGGAACAUCAUCACAUAUCAAGUUCGUCUUACUCCAACAACCAUAUUUCUUCUACACAGAAGAAGAUAGACCUAGCACGGCAAUUAGGAACAAACUACAACCGGAAGCAACACAUUCCACUUCCGAUCCACUAACGGCGUUGACGGGGAGGACGGCUUAGGCCCUCUCGCCACGGAUGCGGCGGGCGAG